UGGUGGGGUUCUUUGUGUUUUAGCUGUGAUUGUUUCCCAUUUGACUUCUGUUUGUGAGUGAGUAUGUUGUGUUAUAUAUAUGUGAGUGUGUGCGUGUGUGUGUAUCUUGUUGUUUGGAUAAUGUUCUUCUGUGUGUCAGCUGCUUUGGGCCUUGAUGGGGGCUUUGUGUUUCAUUGAGCUGUACCAUUUAACAUAUUACUCAUCCCAGAUAAAUUAUGACUCAUGAAUGCUUGCAGCAAUAGCGAUUUAAUUAACACCUUGGUUGAAACAAACGAUAACUUCUUUUUCAUUGUUGUGCCACUUCUUCGAGCUAUAGAAGUCUUUGUGAUUGAUUUGAUAACAACGGUAACCAUGGCAUUCUUUACAAAUCUGCUGUUCAAGUACAAGUUGAAAUUUAGCAUUUAAUGUAUUUACCUAUGGUAGUAGAUGGUUUUCAGGAUCAUUUAGUAUUGCGUGCCUAUUGAAGGAGAGCAUGAAUAUUUCCUUCACCUAUGCUGUUAUACUAUUUGCUAGAUAUGUCAUGUAAUACUUUGCUUCCGCAUUUACUGCUGUGGAGUGGCAGCAAACUUGUACAUGGUAUUGUCUCUUGUUUUUGUUUUUGUCGGUACUUCAGCUAGGAUGUUCUUAAAUCUAUGUCUUCUAAUGCCUUUUUCGCUGAGGGCAGUUCUUCUGAUUAGAUUUGUAUUAGAACAUUAACAGAAUCAGGAGCUACUGACCAUAAACAGAAUCAGGAGGGAGACUCAAGGUUAUAACACAUAAAAGAGAUCAUCCCAUGGAAAUUUGCUCCACAACCUAAUAAUGGCCAAGCAAGCUCACAGGACAGAGAGCUUUUGAGGUGGUCUACUCGUUCAGUAGAUGCUUCCAAGGUUAUGGAUUUGAUGAGGAUGUGAUUUCAAUGAACAAGUUGCUUUUCCAGCAAGGAAGUGAUGAUCGGUUCAGGGAAGUAGGCAUUGUUGGUGAUGAUAGUAUAGGAAAAACAACACUUUUCCAGCUCUUAUUCGACAAACAAGAAGUGAAAAACACAUUCCUCCCAACAGGUGUUUCUUUUAUUGUUGAUCUGCAUUGUUUUUCUUCUAAAACUUCGAUGAAACAACCAUAUUGUUAAAUGAGUUUGUGAGAUUUGGAGCAUGUAAUAACUAUAGCUAACGGUUCUGAAACAAUAAACUUUGUAUGCUUUUUAUAGAUCCCCUGUGGUAACAAGUCAAUGUGGCAACAGAUAGGAGCACAUUCGACGUCGUUAGAAUGAGCCGAGGUUGCAUUGUUUGUGUCGUCUAGAUUCAGGUAUGAAAGUUUUGAGAGACGACACUGUGGAGCCACUAAAGCCUGUCAAAAUGUUAAUCUUCAGGCAACCAUUUUCACAAGAAAAAAUAAAAAUUCCACUUCUACAGAGAGCAUAGCACAUGGAUUAAAUGGUCUAGUUAUCUGAAAUUAUCAGAUUGUAAGUAGUAUAGGUCUACAGACUACUGCUAGUAAGAUCCUUCGGCAUAAAGGACUACAUUUCGGGUAAAUUUUUUGAAUUUCCAGAUUGACAUCAAGAAUUAUUCUCUAUGAUUUAUGGCUAACGAAAGAUCGACAUCUGCUUCAACUUAUAACAGCUUCAUGGGUAAGAAAACCUUGGACUGGAAAUCCAAUUUAAUUUGAAACCAGAAUGAAUAAAUUCAAUAAGCGUAAUGGCAUUUUCUUAUUCUUAUUCUUCGGAGACUAUAGAAUUACAGUUUCCUUUGCGGUGAAUACUUAUAUUACACUCCGCGCAUUCAAACACCAAACCUUCACGAGGUUCUCCACACAACUGACAAUCAAGAAUGCUCUCUCGCUUAUCGAAAGGAAUGGCAAUGAGGAUGGCAAUCAAAGUUGCAAUCUGUAGAGGAGUAGAACCAAUGUGUAGGAUCUCGUUCUCCUUCACAUAUUUCGCAAUAAUAUUCACCUAGUUUGUUUGGAACCGGAUGAUAGGUGAGGUUGAGGGUAAGAUUGAGGUUUCUGUACCUUGCAGUAAGAGGUAGUUUAACACAUGCAACACAACAAUGGAAGUUACACUUGAUACAACCGAAGCGUACGUCCGUAAGAGAAAUACCACAACCCUUGCAAUCUUCUUUGUUCGGAUGAAAGUUGAAGAAGAGCGUCAUGCUUAAGAGGGUUUGAAACAGAAAUGCGUUGGAGGUCAAGGUAUAAGUCGCAUUUGUCACAAUAGUAAGAGAAGCCUUGGCUCUAGCUUCGGCACAUAUGACACUUAAAACUCUGUCAAAUGAAGGAGCUGCCGAGAGGAGUGUGAUCUGGUGUCGAUGAAGUGGGUGAAGCCUUGUUCUAGGUAAAUGAGCACAGGUUUGGUGUAGUUUUAAACGGCAUUGUUCUUCUUCGGUGCAACAACUAUAAAAGGCACCGGUGCUCAUGGUGAUGGGUUGCAUGCAACCGUUACAAGUAAUUUGUACAAUCAAGAUCUCUAAGUGCAUCACUGAGGACUAACAAAUGUUGAUGAUGACUAAAAUGCUUGAUCUGUUGUGCCGCCGCUGAUUCUCUUUGGUCAUCCGCCGUGUUCCACUGCUUUUGACCAGGUAUAAGAUCAUCAUCGUCGUCGGCAUUGUCAUCAUCAAAGGUGUCGGUUAUUUCCUCGAAUGCACAGAGUGUCAGCAACGUAACCACACCGACGACAGUAAUAAACAGCGCGGCAACUAUCAGUGUUUGUAUAGCAGAUUUUACAAAACUGUUCCCACGGAUAGGCAUCCUCAAGGUACCAAAUAAGCGUGAGGCCGUGUUCGUGCGCACUGAUCCUAAUGCGGUGUGGUAACGUAUGAGCACAUGCUUUGUUGACCAAGAGGUGGCAGACGGUACAAAGAUACGAGACAUGAUCCCAUGUUCCGCCGCCGAUGUCACAAUCGAAUGGAAUUUUCUUCCGGAGGACAGUGAACUGAUGCACGUGUCAGCGAUCCUCAAGAAUGAGGCGCCAAUUCGAGGCACAUUUGACGUCGAGGUUUAGCUCGCAAUCAGAACAAGUGUAGGCUAUUCGGCAAGGCUGGUCGCAGGAGUCACAAGUGUAAACUGUGAAAGGAUCUUUGAAACAUUGGAGCUUAAGGGGGUGUUUUACGGUGGAUAGGGUGGCGGAUCUCACGGGGUAGAUCCGCGCAUGUUUUGUGGAGGUUGUAGGGGAAAUAGGGAUUGACACAUUGGUUGCAAGUGUAGCAAGGGCCAACCAAGGCCUCCUCGCACCCGUUGCAAAUAACGAAUCGACCAUCCUUUCUCUGCUCUUCUAUGUACGUCAAUUGAUGUCUGUGACUGAAAUGUUCAAUCUCCAUUUUCUCGAUCUCUGGUAGAAAAUUACUAAUGCACUAAUUUGAGUGUUCUGUUACAGUGGAACAAAAAUAUACCUUGCUUGAGAUUGACGCAUUGAAAAAUGCUGGAGUACCUCUUUUUCUUUUUCUUUUUCUUUUUCUUUUUUCUUUUUUACCCCAAUCCUAAAGCAAUCUGUCGGUGAUUUUCUUGUUUAGUAAGUCAGUGACUUUUCUUCUGUGUAAUGUUUCCUUUGAAGCUUUGGCAUAUAGGAUUGCACUUUUUUACAAAGUAUUCACAAAUCUAAAGCACAUCGGAAAUUAUGUUUAAGCUUAAGAUAACGAAGAAUUCAUAAAAAAUUUUACUUUUUGAAAAAAUCUCUUUAGCAUUUUCCUCCAAUAUAUGUAUGAGGGAGGUUUCAAGGGGAUUUUCUUUUAUGUGCAAAUUAGUAUCGUCUUUUAAGGUUUGCAUAGAUCGAUAUUCUUAAAUAAGUAUCAUUUCACGGCCAGCCACUGAAAAAGGCUGCCAAGUGCCAACUAAAGAUGCGAGUGGGAUCGUGAGAGAUGGAAGCAAAUACAAAAUACUAUAAGCAAUGGCAAAGUCAUAUUUUUUAAUAGGGUUGUGUUGAGUCUAAAAACAACUUAACCGACAAUUGAAUUCGGAGCGUGCCAACUUGAUGGCUGAGCUGAGUCGAUGAGUGAAUGAAUGUGUUAGUGGUGGUGUCGAAUGUGCUAAACUUCUAUAUCUUGCGAUUGCGACCGAGGAAAUAACUCGUCUUGGCCUCUGGAUUUUAGAGCCUGAACGCAAGGCUGGUAGUUACUUCAAAGUUUACGAAUCGCCUAAACCAGACUUGGCUGCUUCAAUUAUGUUUGUCCAAAUAUAAGUGUGCAAAUCAGUAGCAGACUGUAUGGACACAAAUACUUAAAGGAGAUAAGUGUCUUGAUUGUAGAUGUGGUUCGGCCGUCGAAGUGUUGAACUCUGAAAUGUACUUGUGAAUCCAAUCAUAAAAUAAGUUUGGCUUUCAAUGUGCCGAAUGAUAUAACCUGAACUUAGAAAGAUGAAGUGACCUCUUCCAACAAGGUCUUCAAGAAUUCUUGUUGAUAGAGACUUGGAUAGGUAGUCAAUCGAACUUGGAGUAGUGUUGUCCAAUACAAACUGUAAGCUACUCCACGUUUGUCUGACUCUACGAUGUCAGUGUUGUCCAAUACAAAUCCAAUACAAACUGUAAGCUACUCCACGUUUGUCUGACUCUACGAUGUCAGUGUUGUCCAAUACAAACUGUAAGAUGUUGCUGAUGGUCAAGCACAGUGUUGUUUGUAAGAUAUGUUUGACGAAAUUAAGGAAGUUAGGGUUUUCUUUCAAAGAUGAAAGAGUUUUGCGUAAAGCGAGAAAUUACACAUAACAGACUUGUGUGUUGUGUUGAAGUUCGUACAUUCUUCUAGCUUGUAUUUACAGAAGUCACAUUCUUGCUUGGCACGGCCUGAUGGUUUUCGUAGAAGGGAUAUGAUAUUCACACAUUCCUUUUUACUUCUUUUAUACUUUUUUUUAUUUUUGAUUGUCAGAUCGGAUGAAUUGAAGAAUAUCAAUGGAUACAAAUUAAUAAAAAGUAUAUAAAAAAAAAAAAGUGUAAAUAGCACAUCCUUCGUAGAAUUAAACUGCAACUCAAACUCUAGAAAGGAGACUGAUCCGUGUACCAUACGCUAAAGUCAAGCCUUCAGAUGACUAUCCGUCACAUUUCAAACAAAUCGAAAGCCUAUUUAGGCUUUAUCACAGCACCACCAAAAUCGUAGCCCAUCUAGGCUUCUUAUCUCAUCAAUAGUUCCAUCUCAUGCACGCAUCUCACCAAGCCACGUACAUGGCAACAUUUACCCAUCAUUAGUAUCACCAACCUUUAAUUGGAUAAAUAAUUAAUAUCUCCACCAUAUCACCUCACCAAUCAAAUCCCCCUUUUUUUAUGUCUUAGUUAUCAACAAAUACCACGUGCACCUUAUGUAGCCAAAGUCCAAUUCUGAGUCGAUAUCUCGUACUCAAUUCAAAGCAUGCAACAACACAACUGACUAGCAGCUAUAUUAUCUCAUGCUUAUAGGGAUAAUAUUGAGAUAACAUCAAUAAAGGGAUAUAUCAAAACAGUCUCCAUUCACCUCAGGUAUAAACCACGAAAUUGGAAGAUGAUUUUCCAAUUGAUGGAUAAACUCAUGUGUCGCCAUUAAAUCAUUAAAUUGUAAUAGAAGUCUCCAACGGAUAAAUGAUCUUCAUGGUGUUUGUAUAAUUCCAAUUGCAUAUACAAUUCCAAUCUUUGAUUUUUUUUCUCAUCCAACGGCUUAAAACUCUGCUCACUCAACUGCUUCAAUUCCUCUAUCCGAUGGCACAAAAUAGAGCACAAACAGGUUGCUAUCAAAUUUUGUUGGUGACGCCUAGCGGGAUCGACGGUAAAAUGUGAGUUUAGUACAAUUAGUUUUAAUUUGGUGGGCAACAAGGAUCAGUUUGAGUGACCAAUAUUCAACAUAAGCAAAACUACAUUUAGGAAUGUUUUCUUCCCUAGAAGCUACUUGUGUUAUAGCCCAUGCUAGUAUUGUAUGUGGCUCCGCUAUUAAUUAUAACUGAAUAUCUUCACUUACUUGAGCUUUAGUCUACUACAAUUAUAACAUUCUUAAAAAGUUAUGACAAACCACUUUCGGUAUAUUGUACUAGUUAGUACGUAGUUUUUAUAUUUACACUAAGGAUACAUAGGGAAAUUGAGUUGUAAUAUUAUUCAUUAAAUAACGCUAAGCAGUUACUCAGUUAGUAACUUAAUAUGAUGUUAAUCACUUGUCUAAGUUUGCUUUACAAUAUUUUUCAUAAUCUAAAUUAGUUAUUUUUUUACGUUAUUACUAAAAGAUCGACUUUGCAAAAAUGCACUUAAAUCGGAAAUUAUUAAGUUGUCUAUAACUUUAUAGAUGGACACACAAAGUGUAACUGAUAAAUAGUGACAUGUUCACAAUAAUAAUCGUAGAACUAAAUAGUUUUAGAUUUGAGCCACUGUUUGCUAGAAUAACCUAUAAAAAAAAAACAUAAAAGUGAAGGAUUUUGAUCAUAAAAUUAUUUUAUAGAGUAAGUCCAAACAAAUAAAUAGUGUUGUAUUUAACUUAUUGACUAUCAAUUUGAGUGCUCCUACAUAAUAACUUUCUCGCUGUCUUUUUUCUACCCCAUGUGACACAUGAUAUGCAGUAAUGCACAUAAAAUCAUUGCAUUUCUAAUUGGGAAUUUUAACGAAAAGCUCCCGGUACUAUUCACUUUAACGAAAAAUCAUAUUUUUACACUAAAAAGUCAAUCCUGGUACUAUUCACUUUACCCUUUAUUUUGUCCUUAUCUUUAAAACUCAAAGUUUUCAAGCAUUUUUCAUUAGUUUUCCUUUUCUAAUUUUCUUACGAGAAAUGACAACAACAAUGUUGUAGUGCCUACUGACAAUGCUUUGUAAAGUGAAUGACAACAAAAGUAAAACUAUAUGGCAUGCACCUUAGGUUUUAAGAAAAUGAUAAUUAUAUAUUAUAUGUGAUGCUUGGGACUAAUUACGUAAAAUUUCAACGGUUUUAAUCGUUUAUUUUUCAAGUUACACCUUUUAGAUUAUCUUUGUAAAAUAUUAAUCAAAUCAUAAAUAUUUGAAACAUCUAAUUGAGUAAAAUGAACUUGACAAAUACUUUAUUUUAUAAGAAACAAUAAAAUUUCAUUGUAAUAAUUAAAUAGGCAAAUGAUUUCGAAUUGAAUUGAAUUUUUGCAAUGAUGAUUUAUGAAUCGAGGUUUACAAAAUAGACAUUCGGAUUGUUAAAGUUCGAUGUAAGGUUGGUCCCACAACUAAUUCUCCUUUUACUUAAAAGGCCUCUAUACAUAUAUUUUUUCUACACACAUUUAUCUAAUAUGUGAUUUAUUCAAUUUGAUAAUUUAAAAUAAAGAGUAGUUUGUGAGAGAAGAAAAAUGUGUACAGGUAUAAUUUUCUAUAUAUUUCGUUGUCAUUCCUCAAAAUGCUAUAUUUUUUUGUUGGUAAAACGUCAAAAUGCUACAUUAUUACUUGAUUGUUAUUCCUAGAUACAAGUGAUCACAGUAGUUUGCUUUGUAAUAGUUUGUCCUCGAAAAGUGUGACCAACCUGCACAGAAAAAUAUUCUUACGUAAUCAAACCAUAUUAUUACUUCAAGAGGAAACAGAACCAGUUCGGUGAGUUUUUUUUUUUUUUUUUUUUUUUAAUUUAUUUAUUUUUAUAAAUUACUGUAUGAAAAGAUUGUUUCUUUUGGAAAUCAGCAAGAUAAAAGCAUUUUGUCCCCUUAAAAAACAAAACAAGUGUGCCAAACAUUGCAAGAGAAAAGAGAGUAACAAACAGUCGUGGCAAGAAACCAACCCACUUUAAGAUUCCCCGAUGAGGAAGCAAUGCUUUUGGGAUUAAUGACAACUUGUUAGGGUCCUUGGCCUCCUAAGAGCAACUCCAGCGGAUGCUGGUUGCUCGGGCGACAGGGGAGGAGAAAGGGCCUGAGGGCUGGUGGGAGCAGCUCCAGCAGGGAAGGGCCCGAGUGAGGGUGGGAGCCCGAGCGAAGGGGGGGUGGGGAGUCGACGGGCCUGUGGCCCGAGGGCUUUGCAAUUUUUUAUUUUUUUUGUGUCAGAGAGAGAGAGAGAGGGGGGGUUUUUUUUAUUAUUUAAACAAACAAAAAAAACUAUUAUUUUAAUUGCUUAUUGCCAGGGGGAGGGUUCCAAGGGUAGAGAUGUAAAUGGCAAUUACUAUUCAUUCAUGGUAGUUACUAUUCAUUUAAGGCAGUUACUGUUUAAUAGGGUGGAUUGACUAGUGGAUUGCCAGGGGGAAUAGCUCUAUGGGUGGAAUUGCUCUAAAGGACAAGAAAUUUUUCGAAGUUCCAGGAACUACAACUCACAUAUGUCAGGUGGUGUUUCCCACCAAUAAGAAUUAGAUACCUAGAUAUUUUUUUUCUUUCUCCUUUAAUUAAAAUAAAUUCUUAAAAGCUGAAGUGCAAUCAUCAAACACACACUAAUAGAGAUUUAGUUCGAAACCCCAAAGGCGCCGCCAACAACAUUGUUCUAAGGGCUUCUGCAAAUUGCUUUCAAACUACCAUAUAAAAAGAGAGGAUGGAAUAGAGGCAACAUAGCGACGUGAACGGAGAAUACGAUUCUCUCUCUCUUUCUCCAUGGGAACCAACCCAAGCAAGCAAAGCUUGCAGGAUGAGUAACGACUAACGAUGGUGGAGAACAAGUGGGAUUACACAGUGUGGCCUGGCAUUCUCUCCAAUGUUGGCGUCUCACCUUUUUCGACUACCAACUUCGCCCUCGCAUAGGGUGAAACCAAAAUAAACUCUGUACCAGCAUCUGGGGCAGCUAAUUAUGGGGAUGAACCCUUUCUCCCAAGACUCUGCUGAUUUUUUUUUUUUUUUUUUUUUUUUGCCUCACUAUCGAUUGCAGCUUCGGAAAACUAGAAUGCUCUGGCAACGGCGCCGCCUAGGUAGCAACUCUUGCUGAGUUCACAUUCGACGAGGCCGAUGAUGGAAAGUAUAACUCCAUGAAAUUAUUUUUGUUUUUUUUGUUGGCAAAUCAGCAUCUCAAUUAAAAAAAUAAAAAACAAAAAAAGAUCCAAGCGUCUAAUUCUUGUUGGCGGGGAACACCACCUUGCAUAUGUGAGUUGGAGUUCCGGGAACUCCGAAAAAUUUCUCAAUGGUGUGGCAGAUAACUAUCCUUUAGGAGAAUUUUUUCAGAGUUCUUGGAACUCCAACUCACAUAUGUAAGAUGGUGUUCCCCGCCAACAAGAAUUAGACACCUGGAUCUUUUUAUUUUUAUUUUAUUUUUUUUUAACUGAGAUGUUGAUCUGUCAACGGAAAAAAACAAAAACAAUUUCAUGGAGUUAUACUUUCCAUCGCCCGCCCCGUCAAACGUGAACUCAACGAGAAUGGCUACCUAGGCGGCACCGUUGCCAAAGCAUUCUAGUUUUCUAGAGCUGCAAUCGACAAUGAGGCAAAAAAAAAUUCCGAUGAAGUCUUGGGAGAGAGGGUUCGGCCCCAGAAUCAGCUGCCCCAGGAUGCCGGUGUAGAGUUUAUUUUGGUUUCGCCCUAUGAGAGGGCGAAGCUAGUGGUCGGAAGAGGCGAGACAUCGACGUUUGAGAGAAUGCCAGGCCACACUGUGUAAUCGCACUUGUUCUCCACCAUUGUUAGUCGUUACUCAUCCUGCAAGCUUUGCUUGCUUGGGUUGGUUCCCAUGCAGAGAGAAAGAAUCGUGUUCUCCGUUCACAUCGUUACGUUGCCUCUAUUCCAUCAUCUCUUUUUAGAUGGUAGUUUGAAAGCAAUUUGCAGAAGCCCUUAGAAAAAUGUUGCCAACGUCACCUUUGGGGUUUCGAAGUAAACCCUUGUUAGUUUAUGUUUGACAGUUGCACUUCAGCUUUUAAGAAUUUAUUUUAAUUAAAGGAGAAAGAAAAAAAUAUCCAGGUAUCUAAUUCUCAUUGAUGGGGAACACCACCUGGCAUAUGUGAGUUGGAGUUCUAGGAACUCUUUAAAAUUUCCCCACACCAUCAAGGAUUACUCACCGUUUUUUGUUAUUCUAUGGUCGUCUGAAUGUUAAAUGCAAAACAAGAUCUUUUUUUGUCUUAAAAACGAUGAGAAAGAGUCCAUGGAACUAAAAGUUCCUUACCUUAGUGCAAUUGAUGCAUUAUUGUAUGUAGUUCAAUGCAUUACUUCUCCUUUGCUGUUAAUCUUUUUAGAGACAUAUAACAAGGUACCUACACGCAGACAUUAGACAAAUGUUAAAGACAUAUUCCAUUAUCUCAAAAUUACAAUGAAUUUGGGUUUGUUCUAUCCUUAUGAACGAUUCUUGAAUUGAUUCUCGCGUUGUAGGUUAUGGUGACGCUAGGUACUUAUCUGACCUGCACAAGGCGCGUUCUCAAUGACUUAUAUCUUUAUCAUUGGAGACACCACAAUAUUUUGAAGGUCAACCAAACAAACCUUAGUUGCAGCUUUUUCGAACCAUCAAUUGCGCAGCCAUGUUCAGGGCUACCCUAGGCUAUAGCCCAAGUAGCUUUCCAUAGAAAAUGAAAAUUUUACAUGUAAUUUUUAUUAAUUUUCGAAUGUAGCUCAUCAUAUAUUUAGUCACUAAUCCUAAUUCUCUUGGUUUAAUUAUAUAAAAUUGUAUAAUACAGUUUACAAACUAUCUCUUUUUUUUUUUUUUUUUACAUCAUUUUUCUCAUCACUUCUUGUACAUGUACAAGUUUGGAUUCGUUUGAAUUUAACACGUAUUUGUUUAAUAAUGAAAAUUCUUGGCUCACCUUGUGAAAUUUUCUUAAGUUAGAGGAUACUGUGAAAACUACAGUAUCAAGUUUGUCUGUUUAUAAAGAUUUAAAUCUUUAAGCUAGCCCACCCAAUGAAAAUUUUCUAGCUCCGCCAUUGCGAACCAUGCUGAGAUACUCGCCCUACAUGAAGCCAUUCAAGAGUGGUUUUGGUUGAGAACAUUUAUAGAACAUAUUCGAAGUACCUGCAGACUUUCCUCCCUUGCUGACGUCCCUACAACGAGCUACAAAAAUAACGCAGCAUAUAUCGAACAACUCAAGAAGGGAUACAUCAAAGAUGACAACACCGAAAUUCUUUUUCUCUCAUCACUAACAUGAACAUCAGAUCAUUGAAGUUAAGAAAAUUCGUUAACAGUACAACCUGGCUGACCUUUGCACUAAGUCAUUAACGAAAUCUACCUUCCAUAAGCUUGUUCAAGGAAAUGGUAUGCGUACUUUCUGAGUUAUAACAUUUUUAGUUCUCUUCGGAAUUAUGUCAAACUCAGGGGGAGUAUCCUGAAGUAUGCUCACUUGGCCUUAAUGUACUAUUUUCUCUACAUUUGGAGCAUUUUCCCCCUUAGGUUUUGCUUCUGCCUAGGUUUUAAUGAGGCACCCAUCCCAGGCUAGUCAUACUCUUGUGUAUGUUCCCUAAGCGUUUAAUUGGCUUUGCAUCCAACACAUCAUUUUCCUUAGAUUAUGGAUUGUUGUCCCAUAUUGGGUUUUACUAUUGCAGGGUUUCGUGAGACUUGUUUCCAUAUGCAAGUUCCUUUGUUUGAGACUAGCGUGUUCCCAGAUCAGUGCCGACAAGUCAACUUCCUCAACUUUGCCGAACCUGAUGUUGCAUUUACUUGAGUAUUUACACACUGAAGAGAUAGUGUUAUGAAUAUUAUUUAACAUGUGAUUGUGUAAAUCCUAGUUAGAUUUGGAUUCCAGAUUAUCCAUUAUUCUAGUGAUUCUUUCAUUUUAGGAUUUUACUUACUUGGGGGACAAGCUAAUCCUCUUAUCUUGGUUUACUAUAAGUAAAGGCACUGACAUAGGGAGAAUCACACAAUUACUAAGCAUGUUACAAUUUCUCCACUAUCUUUAUUGCUGCAACACCGUCUGUCUCCCUCAAAUAAGUUUCAGUUUCUUACAAUUAUAACAUUCUUUAAAUGUUAUGAAAAACCACUUUUUGAUAUAUUUUCCUAGUUAGUACGUAGUUUUUAUAUUCACACUAAGGAUAAGUGGAGAAAUUAAGUUACAAUAUUAUCUGUAAGGUAACGCUAAACAAUUAGUAACUUAAUACUAUGUUAACCACUUGUUUAAGUCUACUUUACAAAUAUUUCUCAUAAUAUUAACUGGUCAUUUUUUAUGCUAUCAUUGAAAGAUCAACUUUGCAAAAACUCACUCGAAUCGAAAAUUAUUAAGUUAUUUAUGACUUUAUAGAUAUAUGCAUAAAGUGUUAUUGAUUGAUAGUGAUAUGUUCAUAAUAAUAAUCGAAGAGCUAAAUAAUUCUAUUUGGUUAGAUUUUUUGCAAGAAUGACCUAUGAAUGGGGACCUAAAAUGAACCGUUUUGAUCAUGAAUUUCUUCAUAGAGUAAGUCCAAACAAAUAAUUAGCAUCAUAUUAACUUAUUAACUAUCGAGCACUUGAGCGCUCCUAUAUAUAAUAAAUUUCUUGCUAUUUUUUUUUCCUACGCCAUGUGACACAUGAUAUGCACAUAAAGUCAUUGCAUUUUUCUUUUCAUAAGAGAAAAGACAACAACAAUAUUGUAGUCUGUUUGGGUCCAAAAUAUUUGUGUGGACCGAGUAAGGAAUAGUUCUCGGCCCGACAAAAUAGUUCUAGAACCAUCGCAAAUUCCAGUUGUUAUGGGCCGCUUGGUUAAGAUCGGUCGAACCCUAGUCUAAGACGGAUUGAUGAGGUAGGUCGAAUCCUAGUAUAAAAAUGAGUCUCAAUAGGAUGAGGAUGCUGAUAUUUGAAAAGUGAAUGUGGCCGGAUAAAAAGUUUGGUUCAAAGUCCUAAUGGAGGUAGGAUUGGUCAAGUCUUGGUAAGAUUAGGAUAAAGAAUCCUAAUCCGAGUAUAGUUCUGUUUCGGCCAGGACUAGAGUGGUUGCUAUAAAUAAGAAGAUGAUGCAUCAUUCAAGCCCCUCCAAUUCAACACACAAACUACCCUGCGUAAACCCUCGCUUUACGCAAAACCUCUUAACAAACUUGAGAUUUUUAUUUUCUUUUUCAUCAACACAUCUUCAGUUUGGAUAAACAGCACUGUGAAGGCAACCAGCGAACAUCUUCAGUUUGGAUAAACAACAUUGUCGCCUUAGAAUCAGUCGACCGUGAAGCAUCUUCAGUUUGGAUAAACAACAAUGCGUCAAGGCCUACUGGUUAUCUAUCCAAGUCUCGGUCGAGAAGGGUUUUCGAAUCCUUAUUGGAAGAGGUCAUCUCACGAGCCUUCUCGGCGAAGUGGGGUGUUACGAAUCACUAGACUCGGCGCAUUAAACACCGAGUUAUUUUAUGAUUGGAUAUUCACAAGUUGGAUUUAGAGUUCAGCAUUCUGACGACCGAACCAUAUUUAAGAUUAAGACGUACAUCUGCUUUAAAUACUUGUGUCCAUAUAGUCUGGUGUCGAUUCGACGUGCUUAUACUCUUACUAAUAUAAUCACCGUGACUGAAUCCGACGCCGAUGAUUUGUAAACUUUGUAGAACUAGUAGCCUUGUCUUCAGGCUCUAGAAGUCGAAGGCCGAGACGUGUUCAUUCCUCGGCCACAGUCACGAGAUUCAGAAGUCAGCAGUGCACCCAAAACAACAUCAACAAAUUUUACUUGCCGACUAAGCUUUGCCGUUCAGUUGGCACGCCCUGCACACAACCGAAAGACGUAGUUAGCUCAUUAAUUACUUGGCUUGUGCACCACAUAGGUUUGGUAGUUUUUAGGGUCAACAUUUUGGCACGCCUAGUGGGACCAGGUGCUAAAACCUCAAAGUUCAUGACCAUUGAGACACGAUCAGUAAAAAAGAAAGCAAUCAUGGGAAAGUCAACGACCGACCUUCCAGUUUAGAAUCCCGGACAAGAAUUGUCACAUACGUGCAAUCCUCUUGUUACUAUAACCCUUGAGGCUGCGCGUGCAACGUAUCAAGAAAACGAAGUUUGUCUGAGUAGCCAGCCACGUAAUGCAGAAAUUCUGAAAAAAGUUGCAGGUGUUUUCAUUGAAGGGAUAGUAGAGGACUGCGAUGACGAUGGUGGUGAAGGUUCUGAUCCACCAACUAGAUCUUUUCUUCGGAGAAGACUCGAAGAGCAAUCUCAGGUUCUCAGCCGAGAAGUAAGGAGAAUACUUGAAGAAAUACAUAGUAAUGGGGAGGCACACAACAAAAUGCUCAAACUACUGGUUAGUAAAAUUUAUGACAACGGACCCACCGAUCGUUCUCGACAAUUUCCACCUAAGGGUAAUCCGUUGUCAACUCUACAGGCCGACACAGGAUCUACUCGGCUCAAAAUUAUCGAUUCGGACAAAAAAGGUGCAUCAAGCAGUAGAUCAGACAGAUCGAGAGAAGAAACGACAUCCGCGGAUAUGAUCGAAGUCCAAAGAAUGAUCGAUUCAGCCUUGAAAAAUGGGCCAAAGUUUCCAAAACUCAUCCAUCCAUACCCAGCUUAUGCAGAAAAGUUUGAAUAUCCUAAAGGCUUUAAGAUCCCAGAUUUCAACCUUUUUGCUGGAUAAUCGUCCAUGUCCUUGUUAGAACAUGUGGCCCGUUUAACUGCACAGUGCGGAGACGUUAAUAGUGACUUCCAUAAACUGCGACUAUUCAACUUCUCACUAACGGGCUCAGCAUUCGCAUGGUACAUCAAUCUCCCACCUAACUCCAUCCAAAGUUGGGAGGAAAUGGUCAAGAAGUUCCACGAGCAAUUCUAUCGGUCGGGGAUGGAAAUGUCAGUUUCUUCAUUGGCUAGGAUGGAUCAAGCAUCUAAUAAGUCACCAAUGGAUUAUCUUACAAGGUUUAAAUCGGCCAGAAAUUGGUGCCGAGUACCUCUACCUGAAGUUGAAUUUGUUAGGCUUGCUUUGAAUGGGCUGGACAUAGAGUGCAAAAAGAAAUUCCUAGGGGCAAACUUCCGAGAUAUGUACGAACUGGCUCAGCACGUUGAGCAAUAUGAUUAUUUGCUCCGGGAAGAAAAGAUCUUAAAGUCCACAUCCCUGGGAACGAUUUACAAAAAUCCCACAGUUAGCUAAGCAUCGCCCAAAGUCAAUGAUUACCUAUAUGUCAGUGUGGACGCGGCCGAGAUAGUGAUAAAUAAACUGUACGUUUGCAAGGCGUUGGCUCAAAUUAACUCCAAUGAUGCCAAAAAUCGUUCGGCCAUUGAAGAGACAGUUAAAACAUCAAAAGUUUACACUUUCGAUAUCACCAAGGCCAAUGCAAUCUUUGACUACUUGUUGAUAGCAAAGAUCAUCAAUCUUCGACCAGCAUUGGUAUAGCUACAAUUCUUCCAUAAGCAUGUAUACUGCCUUAUCCAAAUCCUAGAAACGUCAACGCCAGCGGAUAGACUGUAUGGCUCGACGACAGGCAGCCCGGGCCACUAUGGCUGCCAAAUGGCAGCUGAAAGACAGGGCAAGAAUUGGAGAUGACUGACAAACCCCGACAAUCAUGGCCGAAUUACAAGGGAAAAGGGUAAUGGAUCGUGACUUUGAAACUACCAUUGAAGAGUCCGAGAAGCACAUCAAGCUCCUCAUUCGACCUGGGGAGAUGAAAGCUCGUUUUGAGCACUUGAGAAAAGAAGUUGAAAGCAAGCGUCCCCCAUUAUCUCAGCAAGAGCCGUUAAUAAGAGUUCGACGGAAUCUACACUCUCCAUUCCUUGGUGAAUCUUUGGAGUACAUACGAGAAUUUCACAAGAAACAUUCUGCCAGUGACUUGUAUGGCCUACUUAAAGCGUGUCAAGAAGCUCUCGACCUGGCACUGACUUACCCUGAUGCCGAACAGAUUAUCUAGAAAACCACCGAUCCAACAAUGAAGGCCAUAUUUCAACAUAUACGUGAAGCUUAGGUCCUCAGUUUCGAGGUUAACCCAUACACAAACAUAGACACCGCUGAGCUCCCUUUUUCUCUUGAUGACCUUCAAUAUUUACAACAUCAUUUUGAAGUCUUCUCGGUCUUAUCUCUUUUCGGUUUUACGACCGAUAAGAAUGAACGUAUGGCACGUUUGGAUGCCUACCUAGACACAAGGGACGCAUAGAUCUCCUAUAAAGAACGAGCACGUAAAGCACUGUAGGGGCAACAUCAAACACCAGAAACGAACGAGCUUGAGGAAGACAGUCAGAAUAAAACAGGGUUAGUUUACAUACCAUAAGGGCAAAUACUUGUUGCAGCACAAGAUGAUGAGGUCGAAGAUACUCCAAGGUAUGAUACCGCAGUCCUCGAUAACCUAGAAGACAACGACCAAGAUCCGAUAAGCCCUUCAGUCUUCGAAUAUAUGGAAAUCAGCAUGGUUCAUGUUCUACCUGCUGAGUUUUAGCCAACUACAAGCCAACCAAAUUUUUUGGACAGCAAUGUGGUUGCCAAUGAAGCAACACAAGUCGAUUUCAUCGCUACCGCAGAAGAUGCGUAAGCGAGUAAAGACGACAAACUUAAAGCAGCUCUAGCCAUAUUGUUUCCCUACUCGACCUCGGUUAAUCUUCAACAUUUGAAGCCGUUGUAUGUCACGGCUCACAUUGAAGGUUAUCCAAUCUCCAAAAUUUUCGUCGACUAUGGGACGACAAUCAAUAUCAUGCCCAUAUCCGUUAUGAAAGCACUACGACGAUUUAACGACGAACUCAUCCUAUCUGGAAGAACCAUGAGCAGUUUCAUCGGCGACAAGUCUCAGACCAAAUGAGUCCUUCAUUUGGAGGUAAACGUUGCAAGUCGCACUCACAUGACUGCAUUAUUUAUCGUUGACUCCAAUACCGAUUAUAUUGCCUUACUCGAUCGGGAUUGGAUCCAUCAAACAAAUUGCAUUCCCUCUUCCUUAUAUCAGGUUCUCAUUUUUUGGGACAGCAAAUCAGUUGUGGUUUAUCCAGCCGACAGUCAGCCGUUUACAGCCAAUAUGAUUCAGGCACGAUAUUACGACGAUCACGUCGGCUAUAUUACCUUGCAGGGUUUAAACGAGGAAAGAUGGUCGACUCGAAUUUCAGUACAAAAAGUAGUUACGAUAGGUACCGAGAUUGUCCAUUAGGAUUCGACGAGACUUGGGUUGGCCGAUUUGGUUGCAGAUGUCAAUGUCUAAAAACAGUGAUGACUGACGCUUGGCCGCGGUUUCAUCUACCAUGGAACGAUUGCUGGCCCAUUGGUAUGCUAUUUCCAAGCAACCAAAUUCAGGCCUAAACUUAGUAUAAUUUUUGGCCGAAUGAGAUAACGGCCCAAUACUUUCACUCGACAAAUUUCAGGCUGCACUAGCUGAGCUUGAGGAUAGUCAACCUCAAUUCAAUGAUCUUUUAGAGGAAAUAAAGGUUGGAAUGGCCGAAAACCCAUGACCUUUGUUCAUUAGUGCGUUAUUACCCCAACAUGUAAAAAUCAAGCUUUGUAACUUGCUCAAAGAAUUUAAUGAUUGUUUUGCUUGGAGUUACCAUAAGAUGCCUGGUUUAGAUCGCACACUAGUUGAACAUGAAUUGGGCAUCAAACCUGGGUGUAAACCAUUCCGCCAACCACUUUGAUGAUUCUCAACCUAAGUACCACUCAACAAAAAAGACGAACUCGUUCGACUUUUAAAAGCUGGGUUUAUUCAGACAACUCGAUAUGUUGAACGGCUAACAAACAUCGUCCCCGUUUAAAAAAAAAUGGUGCCCUACGCAUCUGUAUUGAUUUUCAAAAUUUAAACUUGGCAACUCCUGAAGACAAGUAUCCAAUGCCAAUUUCAAAUUUGUUAAUCGACACAGCGGCAAACCACGAGAUCUUAUCCUUUAUGGAUGAAGAUCCUGGUUAUAACCAGAUUUUCAUCACUAAGGCUGAUGUUCAUAAAACCUCUUUUCGUUACCCGAGGGCACUCAGCACAUACGAAUGGGUGGUCAUGCCAUUCGGCCUAAAAAACACCGGUGCCACAUAUCAACGAGCCAUGAAUACUAUUUCCAUGAUUUGAUUGGUACCAUCGUCAAAGUCUACAUCGACAAUGUUAUAAUCAAAUUAGAACAUCGGCAGACACAUUUGGAUGACCUUCGUCAAGCUUUCCUACGUAUGAUUAGAGGUUUCAGUGUGCACGACUCAAACAUCUAGAUGACAUUCAUCAGGUUUUCCUACAUCUGGAUGAGGAGACGUUUGAUUAUUUGCACGACUCAAACAGACCAGGAAAUUCACAGUUCGAGGUUAUAAUAAUAGCGUGUGAUAGGGUUUUGAGGUUUGAGAAGAAGUAUCAGUGUCAAGGACAAACAAGUAGAAAAUUGCCACGUGGCAGGAUGUUAAGAGAAUCAUAAACGUGUGAUCGUAUCUCAUAAAUACGCAUGGUUGGGGUAUUCAAGGCAUGUCAAUUUUUAUAAGAGGUAUGAGUCGAUUUCGUUUCUUCAAGGUCGAAGCUCGACCUAAGAAUGAAAGCCAAGGACCUCAGAAGCAAGGGGGCAAUGUUUAGGCCCAAAAUAUUGGUGUGGGCUGAGUGAGGAAUAGUUCUUGGCCCGACAGUAUAGUUCUAGAACCAUCAUAAAUUCCAAUUGUUAUGGGCCGCUUGGUUAAGAUCGGCCGAACCUUAAUCUAAGAUGGAUUGAUAAGGUAGGUUGAAUCCUAGUAUAAAAAUGAGUCUUAAUAGGAUGAGGAUGCUGAGAUUUGAGAAGUGAAUGUGGCCGGAUAAAGAGUUUGGUUCAAAGUCCUAAUGGAGGUAGGAUUAGUCGAGUCUUAGUGAGAUUAGGAUAAAGAAUCCUAAUCCGAGUAUAGUUCUGUUUCGGCCAUGACGAAAGUGGUUGCUAUAAAUAAGAAGAGGAUGCAUCAUUCAAGCCCUUCAAAUUCAACACACAUACUGCCCUACACAAACUCUUGCUCUACACGAAACCUCUCAACAACGUUGAGAUUUUUAUUUUCUUUUUCACCGACUUAUCUUCAGUUUGGAUAAACAGCACUGUGAAGGCAACCGGUGAACAUCUUCAGUUUGGAUAAACAAUAUUGUCGCCUUAGAAUCAGUCGACCGUGAAGCACCUUCAGUUUGGAUAAACAACAAUGUGUCAAGGCCGACUGGUUAUCUAUCCAAGUCUCGGUCGAGAAGGGUUUUCGAAUCCUUAUUGGUAGAGGUCAUCUCACGAGCCUUCUCGGCGAAGUGGGGUGUUACGAAUCACUAGACUUGGCGCAUUGAACGUCGAGUUAUUUUAUGAUUGGAUAUUCACAAGUUGGAUUUAGAGUUCGGCAUUCUGACAGCUAAACCACAUUUACAAUUAAGACGUACAUCUGCUUUGAAUACUUGUUUCCAUAUAGUCUGGUAAAGAUUCAGCGUGCUUAUACUCUUAUGAAUAUAAUUAUCGUGAUCGAAUCCGACGCUGACGAUUUGUGAACUUUGUAGAACUAGUAGCAUUGUCUUCAGGCUCUAGAAGCCGAAGGCCGAGAUGUGUUCUUUCCAUGGCUGCAGUCGCGAGAUUCAGAAGUCAACAGUGCAUCUAACGCAACAUCAACAAAUUUUACUCGCCGGCUGAGCUCGGUCGUCGAGUUGGCAUGCCCCACACACAACUGAAGGAUGUAGUUAGCUCAUUAAUUACUCGGCCUAUGCGCCACGUAGGUUUGGUAGUUUUUAGGGUCAACAAUUUCUUAUUGGCAAUACGUUGUAAAGUAAUCAACAAAAGAAUUAAAACUGUAUAGCAUUGUCCAUGCACUUUAUGUUUUAAGAAAAUGAUAAUAUCUACCUUUUUUUUCCUACACAGAUUUGUUUCAUAGAAUAUAUUUGAUUUAUUCGACGAUCUAAAAUAAAGAGUAGUAUGUAAGACCUGCUCUAAUCCUUGAGUUAGAAUCUAAAAUUUAGAUUUUAAACCCCCUCCCCCCCCUCCCCCCCCCCCCCCAAAAAAAAAAACUUACUCUAAUCAUUGGGCCAAAAAUCAAUUUUGGGUUAAAAUUAAUUUUAGGGGCAAAUUUAACACAAGAAACCAGCUAAGGUAAAGGCUUGGCCACCCUUGAGCAUGGACGUGUAAAAAAAAAAGACGAGCCCCAAAAGCCCUAUGUACGUUAGGCCUGCAGCGCCCGACAACAAUGUGACCCAUUGUCAGGGCAGGUGUUAGACACCAGCUGGAGCUCAAUGGCUCUUUUCGAGAUUCAACGACCGAUAUUACUGGAUCGUUGGUUAAUCCAACUGUCCAGAUUCAAUUCUUUUUAAUUUUAUAUCUAAUUUAUUAAUUCAUUAAAUCUAACAGCUAAGAUCCAAUAUAACCAAAUCUAAUGGCUAAGAUCCAAUAUAAUCAAAUGUAACGGUAAAAAAAAAAUUAAAAAAAAUUAAAAAUAUCUAACUACCCAAAAUUAUAUCCAACUGCUAAAACAAUUAAAAACAAUUGUUUAAAUCAAUAUUCACCUAAAACUCUAUAAGUACCUAUGUAUUUGUUCAAAUAUCUACACAAAAUUCAUUUUUCUCCUACAAUUCUUCCAUAUUGUUAUUGUUUCCUCAAAAUCAUCACUCUCUCAUCAAUGGGUGAUAGAAGAAAACGAAGCUUGGCAAUGCAGAUAACACAAUUCCAAGCACUUGUUAUAGUUGACGAAGAAGAAAUCAACAACGAAGAUGCCGAAUUUGGAAACACACUUAUGCAAUAUGCACACCUUGCCGAAUCUUGCUUUCGUGGUUCUGUCCCAGGCCAUGAAUUUGUGCAACGUGAUAGAGAAGAGUGCCAUGAUAGGAUAAUGAAAGAUUGUUUAAUCGAACGUCCGAAAUAUCUUCCUCAUGAUUUUCGGAGGCAAUAUUGGAUGAAGAGAGAGCUUUUUGAAAGCAUCUUGAAUGCAGUUGCCCACUAGAAUAACUACUUUGCAAGGAAGUAAGAUGUUGUAGGCCGACUGAGUCUAUCGCUGCAUUAGAAGCUCACAUCUACAUUUUAGAUACUAGCCAAUAAGUGAUCUACAAACACAACUGACUAAUAUUGUCGACCUGCAGAGAUCAUUGCUAUUAAAAAUGGCAAGCGAUUAUGUAAGGCAAUUGAAGUCAAAUAUGGGUAGGCAUACCUUCGAAAGCCAAAUCGUGAAGACUUGAAGAUGCUUCAGGCUUCUACGUAAGGUGGACAAAAGAGGCUUUCUUGGCAUGAUAAUAAGUCUUGAUUGUAUGCAUUAGGGUGGAAUAAUUGUUCUACUGCUUGGGCUGGCCAAUUUAAAGGUCGUCACAACAAGCCAAUUAUCGUUCUCUAGGCUAUGGUGUCUUACCACACUUCGAUUUGGCAUGCAUUCUUCGGCGUCCUGGAUCAAACAAUGAUAUCAAUGCUCUUUGAUCUUCUCCCAUGUUCGAUGAUCUCGUUAAUGGAUGGAGGCCCAGAUGAAGGUACAAGAUAAAUUAAGGCUAGAAAAAAAAUCCCGAAAAAUCCCGAACUCAAAACCAACAAAUCUUAAACCAACAAAUCCCGAACAAUUCAGUAACCUAUACCGAAUCGAAACUGAAAUUUUUUAUGCGAGUUUCGGUCAUUCGCUCGGGAAUCUUGAUCUGAACAGAACAAUUUUUAUAUAUAAUUAAAUAUAUAGUUUUAAUUAUUAUAGGCCAUUGAAUUUGGUUGAGAAUUAAUCUCAACCGUUCAUUUAUAAUUAACCCUAACCUCUCUCGACCCCAUUCUCACUGCCUUUCUCUCUCUCGACUUCUCUUCCCUAAUUCUUCGUUGGUCGAUCUCUCAUCCUACCUUAUUCUCCACCUUUGUUAGUCCUCGUCUCUAAUUCUCCAUUGGUCGAUCUCGAACCUAUCCCACCACCACUUCUCCGUCAGUCGAUCUCAAACCCAGCCACCACCACCAUUCCGUUGAUGGAUCUCGAACCUAGCCAUCAUCAUCUUCUUCGAGUCUCAACUCCAGCCACCAUACAACCAACAAGCAAAUCAAGUUCAUCAGAUCCAGCAAGCAGGAAAGAAGAGGAAAAAGAUGGCCCCAAGCAUAAACUCACUAGUAUCAGAAUCAGAAGUAGCAUCAGAUUGGUUUGAACUAAUUUUCUUUGGUUGAUGCAAUUUUGUUUCGAAUUAAGAUUAGAAUUCUAGGGUGUGUGAAAAUUGGGUUCUAGGAUUUGGAUUUGGUUUCUACAAUUAGGGUUUGUUCUAGGAUUUUAUUUUUGCAAUUGGGGUUUCUGUAAUUAGGAUUUUUGCAAUUGAUUUCAGGAAUUUGGAUUUCUGCAAUUGUCCUUAACUAUACCAAGAUCCUGUAAAUUAUUCGGGAAUCCUAUAAUUGCAGUUCGGUUUCAGUUUUUGAGAUCCCAUCAAUGAAUUGCUUCAGGAUUCAGGCUAUGAGUUUCGGUAUAAAUGGUAAUAACAUGGGCUAGAUUACUAAUUAAUUAAUGGUAUUUAUCCUACAUUUGUGAAAAGUUAUUCCCAUCCCGAUAGUGCAGAGAAGAAAUUGUUUUUACAUAAACAAAAGUUGUAUAGGAAAGAUGUGGAUAGAGUGUUUGAAAUCCUACAAGCUCAAUGAACCAUUUUUAGAGGAGGUUUUGCACAAUUCUAGAAUAUAGACGACCUACAUUUAAUCACGAUAACGUGCAUAAUUUUGCACAAUAUGAUUGGUGAAGAUAAGUACAGAGAAAUUGAAAGAAUUCUGAUGAGAUGUGGAUGGGGACGUUGAAUACCUAGAUGCAAGCAUAUACGAUACUGUUGACCCUAAAAACUACCAAACCUACAUGGCGCGCAGGGCGAGUAAUCUAUAAGCUAACAACGUCCUUCGGUGAAUACGGGGCGUGCCAACUCGUCGGCCGAGCUCGGCCGAGGAGUAAAUUUGUUGACGUUGCGUUGGGCGCGCGACUGAAUUCUGCGUCUUGCGAUUGCAACUGAGGAAGGAACACGUCUCGGCUUCUUGGGUUCUCGAACCUGAAGACAAGGCUACUAUUCUUACGAAGUUCACGAAUCGCCGUCGUCGGAUUCUAUCACAAUGAUGUUAUUCGUCAGAGUAAACUCACGCCAAAUCGACACCAAAGUGUAAGGGCACAAAUACUCAAAGCGAAUAUAAGUCUUGAUAGUAAACGUGGUUCGGCCGUCUAAAUACCGAACUCUAAAUCCCACUUGAGAGUAUCCAAUCAUAAAAUCACUCAGCGUGCAAUGCGCCGAGUUCAGUAAACUGUAACACCUCACUUCGUCGAGAAGGCUAAUGAGAUGACCUCAGUCAAUAAGGAUUCGGAAAUCAUUCUCGAUCGAGACUUGGAUAGGUAACCAACCGUCCUCGCCGCAGUGCUGUUGAUGCCAACGGAAGAUGCUGCGAGACCGACUGAUUCUACGGCGACAGAGCUAUCUAUGCUGACUUAAGAUGUCACCGGUUGCUUUCACAGUGUUGUUGAUGCCAACGGAAGAUGUGUCAGCGAAAGGAGAAAAUAAAAAUCUCAAAGUUGUUGAGAGAGUUUACGCAGGGCAGUUAUGUGUUCAAUUGGAGAAGGCUUUGAAUGAUGCACAACCUCCUCUAUUUAUAGCAUUUGAUACCUUUAAAGCCGAGUUAAAACCCUACUCGGACUAGGUCUUCUUCUCCUGAUCAAACACCAACUCGACCAGUCCUAUGUUCACUAUAAUUGUGAACCUAGUCCUUUAUUGAGCCGGAUUCGUUUCCGGGUUAUUAACCUGCCGAGACUUCUUAUUGCACCGGAACUUGACUUGUCUUGCAGCAUGACCUAACCGACCUAGGUUUGGAAGCCCACGCACAAAAUGAUCCAUGGUACCCUUGUCGUAAGACCUUCCGGGCCGAGAAUGAUCCUAUACUCGGCCCAAACUAAUAUUUUGGGCCCAAACAUUGCCCAUUUGCUUCUGAGGUCCUCGGCCUGAAUUCUUUGGUCGAGUUUUGACCUUGAAGAAGCGAAUCUAACACUCAGAACCCAAGUACUCUAUUUCCAAGGUGCAUUUAUUGAGCACGAUUGCACGAUCUUGAUCCUGCUGACCAAAACACCACGUGGCAUCCUUUAACACGGCCAAUCCUUAAUAAUGACGUCUAAGGCGUGCGGCUCCCUGAACAUGACCAUGCUACCUCAAUCCGCGAGCCUUUCGUCAUCGUGCAGACGCCAAAACAUGACCAUGCUACCUCAAUCCGCGAGCCUUUCGUCAUCGUGCUAAACAUGACCAUGCUACCUCAAUCCGCGAGCCUUUCGUCAUCGUGCAGACGCCAAAACGUAUUUCGCCCUAAAUCUCCCCGCCACACGCAAUCGUGCGCCCCCAAAACCUAAGACCCUCGGUCUUCUCAACUGCAUUUCCUGAAUGUCCAUAAUGAUUAACGAUUCCUUCGGUCGAUUUUACCCUUUAUUUUGAAUUUCGAACGAUUGCCAUUCCUUCCACAAUUCUAUAAAUACCGAAAUUCUCUCAUUUGUACUUCACGCUUUUAAAUUUUCUGAAAUUUCUCGCCAUCAUUCUCCAGUGCAUUUCUUCCUUCCAGGUCUUCGUUCUUCAAUUUUUAACCUAGAAAGUUCUUUUCUUGUCAUCCCUUCAACCAUUCACCAUGGCCUUCUUUAUCUCCAAGCUUUCUAAGGAGUAUGACCAAUGCCAGAAAAUUAUCGAUCAGAGUUCAAUCAAGACCAUCCGUUUUGAAAGUGACAUAAGUACCCCUCAUCAGAUCUUGGGUCCUAUCUUCAAAGCGGCAGUGCCAUCGACCAUCACUAGACUUCUCCAGAAGCACUGCCUAUCACCCUUGCUACAAGGGUUCGACUGGUCGAAGUGGGAUGUGGCGAGGCCUCAAGGCUCUUGGCCCUCAACCACUACAACCUGGGCAGCUUGGGUUGUUUAAAUGGAAAAACUCUUUGGCGAGCAAUGGAAAGCCCUAGGCAUCUACGACACCAUUCACCUUUCGUCCACGGAGGUCAUUCUAGACAAGGAGCUUCUCCUAGCGGCUUUAUGCUUUUGGUGUUCGGCCACUAACAUCAUGGUCCUCCCUCUCGGCCCCAUUGGCCCCACCAUCCUCGACCUUACUACCAUCUUGGGGACUUCCCCGACUGGAAUCCCAGUCGACUCUGCCUUCCUUGGGUACCCGUCAAACCUUAAUUUGAAGGCGUUCUUUGACAAAUAGGCCCUUGAGACGCUAAGCAGUGAAGGCCAAACACCCUCGAAGGAAAAGGUCCACAAGCUUCACAAGAACUUCUUCAACUACAACACCCUCUACCUCCAUUUCGCCGGCCGAGGAGAAGAAGCUCUGCGAGAAGGAGAACACGAGGCUUUCCUCUUCUAUUGGUACAACAAAUUUAUUUGUUGUACCAAAUCUAAUAAGUGUCUGGUCGAGAACAUGCCAGUGGCCGAAGCCUUAGCUAGCGGUCACACUUUAGCACUUAGCCCGGCCAUUCUCGCUCAUCUUCUACACUGUUUGGCCGAAACGACUCUAGAUAAGGUCAAUCCAUAGCAGAAUGGGCCCCUCUGGGUCUUCCAACUCUGGCUACAGGUCUACUUUGCUCUUCUUCGGCCAACGAUUGCUGAUUUCUCGCCUAGGGAAGCUAUCGGCCUUCAAUUGGCUUUUCAGCCAAUCCCCCCUCACCAAGCCGAAGAAGUGUUCAGAUACUUUUUCACUCUUGACGACCUUUCUAAUGACAAGUUCUUAAUCUGUCGUCGUCGAGAAUACCCUUCGUCGAUCAGACUUCCUACAACAGCAUGGGGUGUAGACGAAGAUGUUAACCUUCGUCAAUCCUGGGGGUCUUUCGUACUUGCCCGCAACCUGCCUCUCGACUAUGAGGGUCGCCGAGCGAGUUGGGAAGUGUAUCAUCCCAACUUCCUCGCUUGGCAGCUUGGCUAUCUCCAAGGUUGUCCAGUCCCUCUUCUUUCCUCAAGGUCAAUCCUAAGCCGCGGACGCGAACCUGGCUCUUCAGAGAAGGAAUGCACCGAUGCCAAAAGGAAGUUCCAAGAGCGGUGCCAGAAAUUCCACCUUCGAUCGGCCACUCCAGAGACUCUUUGCACUGACACCUUCGGUGACUGGUGGGAAAAGUAUACCCAGCAGUUUUUUGGUGUUAUGGUCGAAACCGUUUUGAAUAAACUCUUCGGUGGUCGACCUAAGAAGGCUUCUGCCCCCCAAGCCCAAGGUAACGGUUUACUUCUGCCUUUUUCCUUCAACCUUGAACUACUGAUCUGCUUUGCUGAUUUGCUUUUACUUUCUCAGGUAGCCGGUCGUUGAAAAAAGUGGUGGUGGUUGCUGAGGCUGCGGUCGAGAGAAAAUCGGUCGUCUCUAAGAAAGCAAAGACUGCUGCGCAGGCCUUGCUGAGCAAACGGCCUCGUCGAGAAGCCGAGCCGACCACAGAACUUCUCGGCCCGCCAAACGGAUCAAAAAAAUGGCGAAGAAAGGAGAACGGGAGAUUCACGUCAUCUCUAGUCAAACUAGAGAGUGACGACUCCCAGCGUUUCCCCUUCUCCCCCCAUCACCCAAGCUUUGGCCGACAAUCGGACAAUUCCGGCUGAAGAAACCGUCCAAGCACGGCCUGUUUCUGAGGUCGGUAACCCAGUUGUUGUUCCCCCGAUCGAGGCUGCACCUGUCCUGGUAGAGGUAGUCCCUGCGACCGAGAGAACUUCUCCUGUAAAUCCAAAACCUUCGACCUUCAUUCUAGAAGAGAGUGAGGGGAGCGACGAGGUUCCCCUGGCGAGUCGCCCUCGUCCCCGCCGUCAACCUCGUCUUGAGUCUAAGGCGGUUGUCCAAGUCAACCCUCCUCCGGCCGACCGUGGCAAGCAACCGGCCAGAGACUCAGCAGCGGCGGCGGAAACGUCCGUUCCUCCAUAGGACCAAGACCUCCACCCCCUGUCCGGAGCGGCCGUCCAAGUCAGCCCUUCUACGGCCGAUCGUGGCAAACGACCUGUCGGGGAGCUAGAAGCGACAGCGGACACACUCGUUCAUCUGCAGGACCAAGACCUCAAUAUUCAUCCGCAGGAAGCCACUUCGGCCUUCGUAAGUACCUCCUACCCCUUUUUUUUUUUGGUUAUUUUUCUGCCAUAGAACUCUAAAUCAGGAAAAUACUAACUGUCAGGUGCCUGCACAUUCUUUUCAUCAAAAAUUCUACGCGCCGAAGGGUGUUAUCUAUAUUUCUUGGCCGCCUCAGUGGCCAUCGAAGGUAGAUAACCUCUAUCGGCCGCGUGAACUGAGAAGCAAUCUAAGCUACUAGGCUCGGUCAUUAAGUUCUUUAGGUUCGAGCAACGAUCCUGAAGACAUGGCCGAAGUCUCCUCUCGGCAGGUUAAAAGAAACAAAACCUUCUUACUACCUUUUUCAUGAUUUCCUUGAGCUUAAAUUGAUUUUUGUGUGUAGGCUUCCUGGAAAGUUGAGUUAAAGGCCCUCCUGUCAAGUACUACCGGAGCAGGUGGCCCUUUAGUCCCUACAACUGACCCUGCCUAUUCAACUGCUCUGGUUCGAGUGUAAGAAAUUUUGUCUCUUUCUACGUCGCAAGUCCUUGAAAGCAAAGGCCUUGAUUUAUUGGGUGCCUGCUUAAACGACCUCGGCGCAGAUGGUCAUAUGAGCGCCGAAGCCAUCGUUCAGGUGUCGUCUGCCUUAGAGCGAGUUCGGGAGACUUUUAACAUCCUUGAGAACGCUCUUCGGGCUGAACAGGAUCUAAAAGCUGCCAUGGCCAUCCAAGAUGCUCUUCGUCCGAAGAUUGAUGCUUUAAAGGCGAAAGGGGAGGCCUUGGCUAACCUCGAACAUCAAAUAGAGCUGAAUUGGCAAAACGAAGGUCGGCUAUUGCUUUUGAGCUUACGAAAGACUUUGAGUCAGGCGGCAAAGAUUGUUUGACCGAGUAUGCGGCGAGCACAAAAUGAAUCGAGCAGUUGAAGAUGGACAAGAAGAACCGGCAUGCCGAGGUCAUAAUGGGCGAGGUGCGGUGGCUAGAGUUGAAGGCUCUUCUCGGCACUCUUCUUCCUUCUUCACCCUAAAUGUAAACUGAUCGAUUAACUCAAUGUGUAUUUUUCCAUCGACCUUAAUGAAAUGAAUUUCUAUUCCUGCAUCUCCCAUGUGACUGGAUAGUACUUAUUUAAAAACUUCCUAUUGAUUGGCAAUUUGUGAGUUAAACCAGUUCAGUCUCUAAGAUGAUAUGCGCAUUUGCCGAGAACUUUAUGUAUGACGAAAGGCCCUUCCCAAGUUGGCGACCAUUUGCCGAACCUAGGGUCUUUAAUUCCUACGAGCAACACCGUUUGCCAAACUAGUUCUCCUUCGCCAAAUGUUUUCUGUUGGACCUUUUGAUUGUAAGCUCGCUCGACAAUCUGUUUUUCUGCCACCAGCAAGUUAUAAGCAUCGAGUCGCGCUUCUUCCAAGUCUUCUAACUCCUGUCUCAUGGACUGAUUAUAUUCGGCGCUGAACAAACUACUUUGUUUAAUUAUUCGUAACGAAUUUAUGCUUAGCUCGACUGGUAACACUGCGUCGUGUUCGUAAGUUAGUGCAUACGGGGUUGUCCCAGUCGCCGAUCGGAGCGAUGUUCGAUAUGCCCAUAAAGCCUCGUUUAACUUUAAAUGCCACAUGCCAGGCCUCUCUUUUAUUAUUUUCUCGAGAAUGCCGAUCAAUACUUCGUUACUUGCCUCUGCCUGCCCAUUUGCUUGUGGAUAAUACAGUGUAGACUGUUCAAGUCGAAUUUUCAAACUUGCCGUAUAUUCUCUAAACCUCUCGGCUGUAAAGAUUGUGCCAUUAUCAGUUAUAAUCAUUUUUGGUACAUCGAAUCUAGUCACAAUGUGUUCUUCCACAAAGUCGCAAACUUCUUUAGACGUUAGCUCGACAUACGAUUUAGCUUCGACCCACUUAGUGAAGUAAUCAGUUGCUACCAGUAUCCAUGUGUGCUUAGCAACCCCGGAAGAUGGUGUGAUUUUGCCGAUUACGUCCAUGGCCCAUCCUCUAAACGGCCAUGGUUUAGUGACCGAAUGUAAUGGCUUGGCCGGGACCCGCUGUAUAGGACCAUGAAUCUGACUGUAUGCACCCUCGUGAGAACUCGAUACAAUCCUUCAAUAUUCUUGGCAAAAAAUAACCGUGUCGUCGAAGUAACCACCGCAUUUUACAUCCGAACUGAUGAGCUCCGUACACCCCUUCAUGGACUUCUGUGAUUGCUUGAGCAUUCUCUUGGGGGCCGAGGCAUAACAGUAAUAGACCAUCCUCACCCUUUCGGUAUAACUCGUUUUGGCACGUGACAUAGUUUGUGCCGUGAACUCAUGUCUUGCGACUAUGUUUGCCAUUGGGAUUGUCAAGGUACUGCAUAAUGGGCUUUCUCCAAUCAUCUGGCAUUGCCUCGACGACACAAACCUCUAUAAGGUCUUAUCGGUCUAGCAACGAAGGUAAGGACAUGACUCUGGUGCGUAUCACGUUGUCGCGUCGGAGGACUUGCUAGUUAACCAAGGCCGGGUAUAGCUGUCGUAACAUCGGUAUUUCUCGGCCUAGCUUGCCCCCCAGGAGUUGUGCACCGGAGGCGAUUUGAGCCAACUCGUCCGCGUCGGUAUUAUGGAUCCGGGAAAUAUGCUGAAUGUAAUACCAUCGAAGGAUUCGGCCAAAUAGCUGGCAACCAUGUGGUAGGGUGCCAGGGUACAACUUAUGCAGCGGAAAGACCCAUUAAGUUGGUUAAUCAUAAGUUCGGAGUCGCCAAGGAUGAGAGCACGGGUGGCCCGCAAGGCAUGCAGGAUGCCAAGGCCGAUGAUAAGGGCUUCGUAUUCAGCCUGAUUAUUGGUGCAGUCAAAAUCCAGCUUGAGCGAAAAAUACCAACGAUCAUGGUUAGGAGAUUGAAUGACAAUGCCAACGCCGACCGAGGAUGAAGUACUGGAACCGUCAAAGUACAUCGUCCAGUAGUUAUCGCGCGUUUUAACCAUGCCGAUUUCGACGUCGGUGUCCCCAAAACCAUAGGGGGAAGGGUGUUGAGCGAGGAAGUCCGCCAAUGCCUGGCCUUUAACAGCUUUCUGGGGCACGUAUUGCAAGCUAAACUCGGACAACGCCAUUGUCCAUUUCCCAAUUUGGCCUUUCAUGAUUGGUCGAGUGAGCAUAUACCGGAUGACGUCGGUCUGGGCAAUGACUUGUGUGAUCGACGGAAGCAUGUAAUGCCGAAGCUUGGAGGCGACGAAGAACACGGCGAGACAGAGCUUCUCAACGGCGGAAUAAUUGAUUUCCGGUUGAUUAAGAUUUCGAAUGAGGUAAAAAAUAACCUGCUCCCGCCCGGCAUCGUUAUCUUGGGCGAGGAGGCAGCCAAUGGACUCUUCAACUGCCGAGAUAUAUGGUUUGAGAGGCUUACCGCGCCGGGGUGGAACAAGGACAGACAGUUUCGUGAGGGAGACUUUGAUUUGUGUAAACGCCACCUGAUGCUCGUCUGUCCACUCAAAUUUAUCGGGUCCUUAAGUUUCAAAAGCGUAGAGAACGCUUUCAUUUUACCCGCUGAGUUAGCUAUAAAUCGGCAGAGAAAAUUUAUCUUACCGAGUAAGGACUGUAGUUGUUUCUUCGUCGUCGGGGGUGGAGCACUAAUGAUUACGUGUGCUUUAUUUUCAUCUACCUCAAUCCCACGGUGAUGCACGAGGAAGCCGAGAAAAUUACCAGCCGACACACCGAAGGCACAUUUGGCAGGAUUCAUUUUGAGGUUGUGUUGACGCAUACGGAUGAAAGCUUGUCGGAGAUCAUCCAGAUGUGUCUGCCGGCGUUUAGAUUUAACUACAAUGUCGUCGAUGUAGACUUCGACGAUGGUUCCAAUUAAAUCAUGAAAUAUGGUGUUCAUUGCCCGUUGGUAAGUGGCACCGGCGUUCUUAAAGCCGAAUGGCAUGACAACCCAUUCGUAAGUACCGAGUGCCCCCGGGCAGCAAAAAGUAGUCUUGUGCACAUCGGCUUUGGCAAUGAAAAUUUGGUUGUACCCGGCAUGUCCAUCCAUAAAGGAUAAAAUCGUAUGAUUCGCCGCGACAUCGAUUAACAAAUCUGAAAUCGGCAUUGUAUACUCAUCUUUGGGAGUUGCCAAGUUUAGAUUUCUGAAGUCGAUGCAAAUGCGCAAUACACCACUUUUCUUUAAAAUAGGAACGAUAUUGGCCAACCAUUCAACGUAUCGAGCUGUCCUAAUGAACUCUGCUUUCAAAAGCUGAACUAGUUCAUCCUUGAUACCAAGUUGCACUUGGGUCGAGAAGCGUCGAGGUGGUUGAUGGAAAGGUUGACACCCAGGUUUAAUACGCAAUUCAUGCUCGACGAGAGUGCGAUCUAAGCCAGGCAUUUCAUGGUAGCUCCAAGCAAAACAAUCUUUGAAUUCCUUAAGCAGGGCACGAAGUUCGGCUUUAAUAGGUUGAGGAAGUAAAGCACUAACAAAUAAAGGCCAUUGGUCAUCGGCCGUCCCAACAUUAAUUUCCUCCAAGGGAUCUUUGACUUGGGGUCGAUUGGCUUCGAGCUUGGCCGGGGCGGCUUGAAUUUUGUCAAGAGAUAAGACAGGACCAUUAUCUCCUUCGACGAGGAACUUGACGAGGUUAACGCCCGAAUUUGGUUAUUUAGAUAUAGUAUACCAAUGAGCCAACAGUCGUUCCAUAGUAGAUGAAACCGCGGCCCGACGUUUUUCCCGAUAAGUGUCAAACAUCAGGAUCGGGGAUAAAGUUACCUAAACCGAGUCUCACUGAAUCCUGGUGGACAGUUUCGGUGCCAACCUCAAUAGCUUUUUGAACAGAAAUCCGAGUUGGCCGUCCUUCAUCAUUGAAACCCUGUAGGGUGAUAUAGCCGACGUGAUCAUCAUAAUACCGUGCUUGGAUCAUGUUAGACUCGAAGGGUUGAUUAUCGGUCGGGUGAACAAUGACCGAUUUGCCAUCUCAAAAAACGAGGACUUGAUAUAAUGAUGAAGGAAUACAGCUGGUUUGAUGGAUCCAGUCUCGUCCGAGCAGUGCAUUAUACUCGGUCUCGGAGUCGACGAUAAAAAAGGCGAUCAUGUGGUUACGGUCGGCGAUAGUUACCGCUAAGGGAAGCACCCAUUUUGUUUGGGAUUUAUCUCCAACGAAGUUACUCAUUGUGAUCCCGGAGGGUAUAAGUUUGUCAUUUGAGCGACGUAAUGCCUUCAUGACGGUUACAGGCAUGAUAUUAACAGUGGCUCCACAGUCGACAAAGACUUUGGAGACUGGAUACCCUUCGAUAUGGGCCGUUACAUACAAUGGCUUCAAAUGAUGAAGUUCGACCGAUGAUGAGCAAGGAAACAAUUCGGCUAAAGCUAUUUUGAGGUUAUCAGCUUUUGUUGUCGACUUCUCGUCAGCAGCAGUUACAAAAUCAAUGUGACCGGCUUCCUUGGUGAUUAUGUCACCAUCGAGGAAAUUCGGUUGAGAUGUGCUUGAUUGAAAAUCAGAGGGUAAAACAUGGACCAUGCUUAUUUCCAUGUUAUCCAGGACCGACGGGCCCAUUGGGUUACCAUCAUCCUCUUCCGCCUCUUCUCGUUCCUAGUCACCGAUUGCGGCAUCUACUUGCGACGGAGUAGUACUAAGAGACUAUUCUGCUCCUUCUUCAAUGGUUUGUUCCCGCAGUGUCUCUUCGGAAGCCUGGUUGUUGUGUACAGGUGCUGCAGGUGCGUCUGAAAUCGAAAUUGUGUCUGGGAUUGAUGCCAAGAUACGAGCUUGCUCUUGGUACAUUAUACGGGCAUCCCUGGUGUCGAGAUAGGCAUCCAACCGUGCAACUCGUGUUAUUUCAUCGGCCGUGAGGCCGAAGAGGGAAACGGUCGAAAAAACUUCGAAAUGGUAUCGUAAAUAUUGAAGGUCCUCCAUGGAAAAAUGAAGGUCGACUGUAUCGAUAUCAGUAUAUGGGUCGACUUCAAAGCCAAGAACACGAGCUUCUCAUAUGUGCUGGAACCUAGCUUUCAAUCCUAGGUCUGAGGUCUUCUGAAUAAUUCGCUCGGCAUUCGGGCAAGUGAGGACGAGAUCGAUUAUGUCUUGACACGCUUUCGGAAAACCAUAUAAAUCGUUGGCCCAAUGUUUUUUAUGAAAUUCUCGCAUAUAUUCCAAGGCCUCCCCGAGAAAUGGCGGAUGUAAAUUCGGUCGAAUUUUGAUCAAAGGUUCUUGUGUGGUUGGCGGGGACAGUUUUCUUUCAGCUUCUUGCUUGAAAUGCUCGAAGCGUGCCUUCAUUUCUCCGGGCUGAAGAAAAAGUUGGAUCCGUUUAUCAGCCUCCUCAAAUAUGGUUUCAACAUCUCGAUUGACUAGCCGUUUCCCUUGAACCAGCUCUGUCAUAAUAAUUGGAGAUGGUCGUUCAUCAUCGUUGGCAACUGUUUCCUUCGGCAGCCAUUUAGGGACCGAAGCUUCUUGGGCUGCCCGUCGGUGUGCCAUGCAGUCUAUUCUUUGGUGCCGACGUUUCUGGGAUUUGGACAAUGCGGUGUAUACACCUUUCGAAGAAUGAUACGUAUACCAACGCUGGUCCCAAGGUUCAGGAGGUUUGAAAGUUUUUUGGCUCUUCAAUGAUUCCAAACUGCUAGAAUUACGGACGUAAUAAUCUUCGUCAUAAAACGGGGCAUCAAAAUCAAGGCGCCGUCUGACCGGAGGUGUUUCUUCCACCUGCACUUUAGGGCCGAGCCUAUAAAAAACUCCUUGGUGUUGGCCUACGUUGAGCACCUUUUACUGUGUUGAGGCCGUAGGUUGUUCCACUAUAGUCGGAGAUAACUUUUCCUUUGGCUCGGUAUUGACAUUUGCUUUACACUUUCUGCAUAACAGCGCCAACCCACCUUCUUCGUCAGUGCUGUAUUCUGUCAUAGGCUUAACAAUAGUAGGUCCUGUUAGAACUGUAGGUGGUUUGUUUGAACGAAAAUCGGCAGUAAAACGUGGUCAAGGAUUCUGAUUCAGAAAGUGUUACGUUGUAACGGCUUCGGCCUUCCCUUUUCCUUUGUCCUUAGGUAGGUGUGCAUCUACCAUAUUUACUGUUGCCGUGGGAAAUGGAUCAGUAUCAACACUCAUCUUCUUCUCCGGAAAUCUAAGUUUGCCAUUAUCAAUCCAGUUUUGGAUGUUAUCUCAAAACACGAUGCAAUUAUUUGUCAUGUGUUUGCUUGAAUUAUGGUAUUUGCAAUAUAUCUUUCCUUUAAGCUCUUCGGCCUUCGGAAUGUUAUGCCCAGGCCGAAGUUUGAUGAUCCUCGCUGAUAACAAUUGAUCAAAAAUUGCAUCGGUUUUUGUAAUAUCAAAAGUAUAGACUUUUGACGUUUUCAGUGUUUCUUCAGUGGCCGAGCGGGUUUUGACUACCUUAGAGUCAACUUGAGUCAGCGCCUUGCAAAUGUAUGGCUUAUCUAUCACUAUCUCAGCCGCAUCCACGCUAACGCAUUCAUCUUCGGUCGAUGCAUAAUUGACAGUGGGAUUCUUGUAAAUCGUCCCUCGAGAUGGAGCUUUCGAAAUCUUUUCCUCGCGGAGCAAAUAAUCAUAUUGCUCGAUAUUGGGCUAGUUCAUACAUAUCCUGAAGGUUUACCCCUAAUAAUUUCUUUUUGUAUUCGACGUCAAGAUCGUUCAGAGCAAGUCUGACGAAUUCGACUUCGGGGAGAGGUACUCGGCACCAAUUCUUGGCUGAUUUAAAUCUAGUAAGAUAAUCCAUUGGUGACUCGUCGGAUGCCUGAGCCAUCCUUGCUAGCGAGGAUACUGACAUUUCCAUCCCCGGCCGAUAAAACUGCUCAUGAAAUUUCUCGACCAACUCCUCCCAGCUCUAGACGAAAUUCGGUGGGAGGUUGAUAUACCAAGCAAACGCUGAACCGAUCAGCAAAAAAUUGAAAAAGCGCAGCUUGUGAAAGUCGUUAUUGACGUCUCCGCAUUACGCGGUGAAACGAGCUAUAUGUUCUAACGAGGACAAGGAUGAUUCUCCGGCAAAAAGGCUAAAAUCCAGGAUUUUGAAACCUCUAGGGUAUUCGAACUGUUCCACAUAAGCUGGAUACGGAUGUAUAAACUUAGAACUUCGGGCUUUCCUUGGCCUUCUUUCUCAUCAUCCAAAUUUCAUCCCGGCUACUCUCUGGAUUCUAACCUCUCGUCCUCUCCACUAAGUUACUAUUGUUUGAUCCUCAUUUCUCAAGCUAAGGGUUUAUUGGAUUCUCUCGGGAAGGAUUUUGCUUAAUUGGUUUCUUGCCAAUGACUCACUUUCGUGGUUGCGGUGGUUAAAAAUUAGAUUAGAUUUCUCGGUGGCAAAUGCUGGGCAAGAUCGAAAGUCCUACCGUCGUUGACCUUAUUAACCAGUAUUUUUUCUCAAUCUGGUUUGUGCCUCACUGGUAUUGCGUAUCACGUCAUGAAGUUUAUCGAUUCCUCGACUAAACGUCUGUUCAACCGUCCGAGAUUGCUCGUCAAGCUUGUUUUCGAAGCUUUCGGUGAAACGACCUCCUGUUGGUGGAUCAGAUCCUUCGUCACAAUCCUCUAUUAUCCCUUCAUUGAGAACGCAGGUGUUCCUGUCGGGGAUUUCAAGACUGCGAAACUGACCGCCGAGAUUAACUUCCCUUUCUUAGCUAGUCACGCUCGUGGACUCAAGUGUUACGGCGCUGAUGGGAUUCUGCGCCUGUGGCACACUGUGUCCUAUAUUCUGAAUUGGUAAAUCGGCUGUUGAUUUUCCCAUAGCUGUUUUCUUUUUUACCAAUCGUGUUUCAAUUGGCAUGAACUUCGUAGUUUAGCACUGGGUCCCACUGGGCGUGCCAAAAUGUUGACCCUAAAAACUACCAAACCUACGUGGCGCGCAAGCCGAGUAAUCUAUAAGUUAACUACGUCAUUCGGUAAAUGCGGGGUGUGCCAACUCGUCGAUCGAGCUCGGCCGAGGAGUAAAUUUGUUGUUGUUACGUUGGGCGCGCGACUGACUUCUGCGUCUUGCGAUUGCGACCGAGGAAUGAACACUUCUCGGCCUCUUGGGUUCUCGAACCUGAAGAUAAGGCUACUAUUCUUACAAAGUUCAUGAAUCGCCGUCGUCGGAUUCUGUCACAGUGAUGUUAUUCGUCAGAGUAAACUCACGCCGAAUUGACACCAAAGUGUAAGGGUACAAAUACUCAAAGUGAAUAUAAGUCUUGAUAGUAAACGUGGUUUGGCCGUCUGAAUGCCGAACUCUAAAUCCCACUUGAGAGUAUCCAAUCAUAAAAUCACUCGGCGUGCAAUGCGCCGAGUUCAGUAAACUAUAACACCUUACUUCGCCGAGAAGGCUAAUGAGAUGACCUCAGUAAAAAAGGAUUCGGAAAUCCUUCUCUACCUAGACUUAGAUAGGUAACCAACCGUCCUCGUCGAAACGACUAAUUCUACAGUGACAGAGCUAUCUAUGCCGACUUAAGAUGUCACCGGUUGCUUUCACAGUGCUGUUGAUGCCAACGGAAGAUGUGUCAGCGAAAAAAGAAAAUAAAAAUCUCAAAGUUGUUGAGAGAGUUUGCGCAAGGUAGUUAUGUGUUCAAUUGGAGGGGGCUUUGAAUGAUGCACAGCCUCCUCUAUUUAUAGCAUUGGAUACCUUUAAAGCUGAGUUAAAACCCUACUCGGACUAGGUCUUCUUCUCCUGAUCAAACACUAACUCGACCAGUCCUAUUUUCACUAUAAUUGUGAACCUAGUCCUUUAUUGAGCCGGAUUCGUUUUCAAGUUAUUAACCUGCCGAGACUCCUUAUUGCACCGGAACUCGACUUGUCUUGCAGCAUGACCUAACCGACCUAGGUUUGGAAGCCCACGCACUAAACGAUCCAUGAUACCCUUGUCGUAAGACCUUCCGGGCCGAUAAUGAUCCUAUACUCGGCCCAAACUAAUAUUUUGGGCCCAAAUAGAUACUUGACAAGAUAUGUCACACUUAAUGAGUACAUGAGACGUCUCAAUAGGAUUCAAGCUCCAAAAGGCCAUAACACACUCCGAAAAUAUUUGGUUGAGCAUAUAUGCCAUUAAGGGUUGGUUUGGUAUUGCUGUGCUUUGAAAAAAAAAGCUGCUAUGAGAAUAAGUGGCUGUGCUGUGAGAAUAAGCGGCUGUGAAAUAAAUCAGUAAAGUGUUUGGUAAACUUUUUUGUAAAAGUGCUUUUGGAAGAAAAAAAAAGCACUCUGAUAGUGGGUCUUUUCAUUAAAGGAGCACUGUAGCUCCAUGUGUUUUGAAAAAAAACCAGUUUUCCAAAGCUGCAAAUAGCAGCUUCAGCUUUUCCUUUGAUUUCAGCUUAUUCUCACAGUAGUUUUCAAAAUAAGCCCUUUUUUUUUAGUUUACCAAACACCUAAAACCCUCACAGCUUUUUUUCAUGGGUGCUAUUUUUUAAGCACUUCACUCCCAAAUCACCCCUAAGAAAGAGCAAGGGCAUGAUGGUCUUUCCUGCUAGCGUGUUGGUCUUUUCUUGUAAUAAAAUUAAGUGUGCUGGUGUGUUGUUCUUUCUUUUUAAUAAAAUUAGUAAAUUUUCAAUAUUUAUCAAAAUUUAAAAAAUUUUAAGUUAAAAUGUUCAUAAAAUUAAAUUAUGAUAGUGUACAUAAUUUUAUUUUAUAAAAAAGUUACUUUAAAUAAAUUAGUCUAAAUUCAUUCAUUAAUAAUUUCAUACUACAGAUUUAACCCAGAAGGGUUGGAGGUGAAAAACUGUUUUUGAUUUAAAACUUAAUUUUUUUGGGCUAAAAUUUUUAGAUUUUAAUCCAAGAGUUGGAGAUGGUCUAAGUGCAGAAAAAAAAGUAUGUAGUUAUAAUUCCCCAAUAAGGGUUGGAGUUGGUCAAAAUGCUAUAUGAUUACUUGAUAGUUCUAUUUACAAGAAAUGCUAAGGAGACUCUUUUAAAUAUAGAACUCUCUAUGAAUUCUUUGUCAUGUCAUGUUUUGAUACAAUGUAAAUAGGGAACUUUAAUGUAAAACUCCUGGUACUGUUUACUUUAACGAAACCACAUUUAUACAUUAAAAAGUCAAUCCUGGUACUAUUCAUUUUACCUUUUAUUUUGUCUUUAUCGUUAAAACUCAAAGUUUUCAAGUCAUUUUCAUUAGUUUUCCUUUUAUAAUAUUGGCACAUGAAUUGACAUUAAACUGUGAGGUGACAGAGAGUUCAUAAGUAGUCCUACUUUGAGAAAGUAUCUUUAGACCAUUUCCAACAGAAGGGUCCAGAUGGUCAGAAUGUCGAAAAUUGCUCGAAAACCGUAGGCAUGAAGAACGAGCCAAACAAAUACAAGAAGAGAUAGAUGAUAAGAAUAUGGAAAUGAACACUUCGAAUUACACUCCAAAAAGUAAGACCUAUUUUGAGAAGAAAAAAUAAAUAAAUUAUGACUCGGCAGCAGUUGUUUACCUCUGACUAUACUCCUACAAUGGCGGAUAAUAAAGAUGAUGUUGAUUAUGGAUAUUAAAUUUAAGUUGUUGUAGUUUUUAAAUUUAAGUUAAUAUUAUUUCUAAAUUUAAUUUGUAGUUUUUAAAUUUAAUUUGUUGUUUUUAAAUUUAAGUUGUAAUUUUUAAAUUUAAUUUGUCAUUUUUAAAUUUAAGCUGUUGUUUUUAAAUUUAAGUUGUUGUAAUUUUUAAAUUUAAAUAAUAAAUUAUGUUUGGCCCUAUGACCUUUUGGCCCUCGGUUGGAGACGGUUUUUGUGACAGAGCUAAAACAAGCCCUAUGACCUUUUGACCUUCGGUUGGAGACAGUUUUUUGUGACAGGGCUAAAACGAGCCCUAUGGCCCUUUGGCCUUCGGUUGGAGAUGGAGGCAAAUAUGAUCAUGUACUGUUCAUUAAAAUAUUAAUUUAUUGGAGGACCAUAGAGCUAAAACGAGUCAUCUGACCAGCUUUCGGUUAGAAAUGGCAUUAACACUUCUCUCCUAUUUACAAGCGGUCACAGUAUCUUGCUUUGCUUUGUACUAAUUAGUCCUUGAAAAGUGUGACCAAUCUGCAAAGAAAAUAUUCCUACAUAAUCAUAUACCAUAUUCUUCCUUUAAGAGGAAAGAAAACCGGCUCAGUGUAGUUUUUUCUUUUGUGAAUUACUGUAUAGAGAGAUGGUUUCUUAUGGCAGUCAGCAAGAUAAAAGCAUUUUGUCCCUAAAAAAAACAACACUUUGUACCAAACAUAGCAAGAGAAAAAAGAAUCGUAAUAAGAAACCAACCCACUUUAAGAUUCCCCAAUGAGGAAGCAAUGCCUCUGGGAUUAAUGAUAACCGACUGUUCAACUGCUGUUAACUUGUUAGGGUCCUCGGUCUCCAAAAGGACAGUCACCUGCCACACCGUCAUGGAUUACUCACCAUUUUUUGGCAUAAAUAAUCAAAUUAUUAUUCUAGGGUUUUAGUGAAUGUAGGAAGUGAAAAAAUUGAGGUUUUAUCAUAAAUUUAAUUAGUAAUAUAAAAAGUAAUUUAAUUACUUAUAAGUACAGGUAAAACUCUUUUUCUUACUAAUGUUGAAUUUAUUCUCAAUACGCUUCCUCAAGUAUGGCUAACGUAACUCGGGUAACGUGAAAUUGUUAGGCUUCACACGUUAGAUAAUCUAUUCUGACACCAUGAAAAAAAUUGAGGUUUCACUAUAAAACCAAUUAGUAAUAUGAAGAGUAUGGUAACCCAAUUACUUACAAGCACAUGCAAAAUUUCUCUUCUCAUUAAUGUAGAAUUCAUUCUCAAUUUACAGCAAGAUAGAUCUAUCCUAGAAAUUUGAAGUUGGUCAUUUGCUCAUGAUUGAUUCUAAUAGAGGUUUAGUUGGGUUUUAUAAGUAGGUUGGCUUGUUCAAGUGUGUAUCCAGUUAGAUAUUGAUCCUUCAGAAAGGUCAUCUGUUGGCAAGAGUGUAUUUCUCAAUUAUGUUUGUAUAAAAGAUAGCGUAGGAUUAACUUUUGUAGAGUAUUGAUAAUAACUUAGUUGACAAUAAUAGGAUGGAGGAAAAAACUUUAGUAGGGCAAAUGUUCGUCUUCUGGCUUUACUCACUCACUCUCACAAACACACAAACUUUUUUUUUGGAGGUGGAUUGUCUACCCUUUCAUUUCCAUACUCUUCCUAUUCCUUCCUAUUUUGUGUGAUCACGGUUAAGCCACAUCAACAUUUUAUAUUCCUAUUACUUUUUGUUUUAUUAUUUUUAUAAAAAAAUUAAUAUAAAAUGUUAACGUGGUUUAACCGUGAUUACAUGAACAAGAAGGGAUGAGAAGAGUAUAGAAAUGGAAGGGUAGACAAUCCACCUCCCUUUUUCUUUUCUUUUUUUUCAGAUGACGCGACAAGCUAUCCCUACUGAAAGAGGGCAGCUAUAUAGAAACAAGUUUACUAUCACAUGACAUUUCUAUCUAAUAAUAUAAUGUCACGUGCUGAAAAACUUACGUAUGUCAUUAUUUUAUUAGAACAGAACGUUACAAUAAUAAUAAACUUAUUUUAUGUAAUCUUUCUUCUACCAAGGUUCUUUCUCAUUCAAUAGGUAGCCUUCAUGAAAGGAAAAAGAAUAAUUCAUUGAAGCCCAACCAAAUUGUAACCAAAACUAAACUAACAAACUGAAACCCUAGUUACCAACCUCGACUCCUAUAGGCGAUCAAGUAUCCCAUUUUCCAAACACAGCUCUGAUUUCAAGUAGUUUCACUAGAAAUGGAUAAGAAAACUAUUCCGACACCCCACACUCACAGGGUUCAGAAUUCAGAGUGAGAUUCUAGCCAAGAUAUCUGCAGAGCAGUCUAGGAUAUCAAAAAAAAGAAUCAAAGUACAAUCUCUCAGACCCUCGCAUGCCAACAUCCCCAGAAAAUGUCACAUCCUUAGUAUUAUUUUCCAACAAAAAAAUUGUCGCUUUCUAGCUAUUAUUUAUCAAAAAAAAAAACCUAACAGGAUCCUUAUCCCAUCUGGCUUCUCAGCCCUUUUAUUUCUCAUACAUUUUUAUCUCUUUUUAUUUAUGCGAUCAAGGUUAAAUCAUGUUAAUAUUUUAUAUUAUUAUUAUUUAUUAUUUUAUUAUCUUUAUAAAAAAUCAAUAUAAAAUAUUAACAUGACUUAACUGUAAUCGCAUAAAAUAGAAGAAAAUGAAAAUGUAUGAAAAAUGAAAGGGUAGAGAAGCCGGGCCAUUAAUAUCAAGUUUGAAAUGGAAAUACUCAAGGCUGAGUAGAUUGUGACCUGUAAAGGAGCACGAGACAAAUCUUCACAUCUUUUAACAUUGGUUUUCUCGUUAGAACAAUAAGAUAUAUAUGAGCCUUGGUAGCAGGAAACUAACGGGGCAGUCAAAGGCUAAUUGCUGGAUUUUGACUAUUUGCUUAAUACCAAGAGACAGUUUGUACCCUUCUUUAGUUCCAUUGGUUUUCCCUUGGAAUAGGAAGUAAGAAAAUUCUACAAUGUAAUGGUUUUCAAGAUAUAUACUGAUGUAUAGGACAAUUGAAUUUUAACUUAAUCAAUCUAACCAUUCAACAUCAAUAUAACUCAUACACUAAUGUACUGUAAAAUAACAACUUAUUUAUAUACGUGCGCUUUAUAACAAUAGCAAGUCAUGCUUUCAACAAAUUCUAUCUAGUAGUGUAAUUAUGGUGAAUUAAUGGUGACAACGUAAGUUGCUUACUACACGAAGUAGCUGUAGACCCACCUGAUUGAAAGAGAAACUUUCAUAGUUGAGAACUUAUAUUGUAUAGAUUCAUCACCACAAUGAUAUUAUCGUUCAAUAAUACAAAUUUUAUCCACAUAAUUUACAUUAUUGAAUUACGCUACAUAGCGAUAAAUCUGUUACAUACAAUUUAUUAUUUAUUUGUUAUGGGGCAAAAAAAAAUAAAGUUGGUAAAAAUGAUAAGGGAGGAUAGAAAGAGAAUGAGGUAUGAACCAUUACAAGUAAAUUAUUGGCCUAGCAGACAUGUCAUGUUAACGUGACAAGUAGAGGCGUGGACGAGGGUGUGCCAUAUAUAGGUGCAAAAACAUAGGACCCCCAAAUAUUCAACCCUUCAAAAUAUUCAUGCCACAAGUGAUUACACAAAGAUGUUUCGAAGUUUUUGUUGAUAUGGUUAUCGAAGAUUGAACUGGUUGUUGUUCAAUGUUCUAUAGUGGUUAGGAAAACUGAAAUGUCUUUGUGAGUCUUCUCAACUCUUGAAAAAGUCAAUUAUCGUGGCGAAGCUACCAACUUAACACAUCCUGACCUGAGUCGAUGCAUGUUGGCCAACAUCUGGAAUGUAACGUAGCUAAAAGUGUCGAUGACUUGUAAGAAUAUGAAUAAAUUAUUGAGACCGGUCGGGAUGUGUCACAUCUAGUCCCUUUUUUUAAAAAAAAAAUUGAAAAUGAAUUGGAGUUUUAAAGUUUACUUUUGUUUUAGUUAUAGGUUUCCUUUCUAAUAAUGUAAUUUGAGUGUAAAUCAUGUCCAUAAUUUAACCUUUUAAACAGGAAACAGUAUGAAAUCCAUGUUGUGAUCUUACAAAGUUGUGGAUUAUCUACAUGACUGUCCCUCAUGGACGAACUGAAACAGUGUGAAAUAUUCGCACAUGUUAUAGCUCAUUGAAGAAGGAAGUAGAGACUUUUUUAGUAUAUUUCAAUUUUCAAGGUAUUUUAUACUAUGAAAUUUUUUUAGUAUAUUUUAAUUUUUCAAGGUAUUUUUUAUACCUAAAAUCCAAUGGUAAGGUUUAAUGAUUAAAAUUUCAAAGUAUAAAUACUCCAAAACACUAGAAUUUUUUUGAAACAAUGUUCAUAUUCAAACCAAUAAAGUUGAUAAUUGAAUAAUAAGUUUUUUAGUGUGCUCGGAAUACUAGUCAGAUCAUAUGACAUAAUAUAAAUGAAAUAACACUAAAAAUAUACUUUUUGCUACUUAUAUUAUAACAUAUAAUAUACUGACUUGUGCUCUUAGUACAUGAAAAAUCUCUCUAUGUGAAAGGUGAAGACUAUCAUUCUCCCAAGUGCUCUUUAUUUUAAAUAAUUAAACUAACUGCACUGGGUUACAUGUUUAAUUAACUUUAUUUUUUCUAAUUAACUAAGCUAACUGCGUUACUGCAGUACAAGGUUGAUCUGGGGAAGGUCCUACUGCAUCUGCAAGUACACGUAAAUUAAUUUGUGACCCUUUUUAGAAACAGUUGGCCCCCGAAAAAACCUAGUAACAACAAACAACUAACCUGCCAUUACUUAUUAAAGUAUGGACAAUAUGUUUUGUUUACUUUUAUUAACCAACAAACUUGUCACAACCAACUGUUGUACUUGCACCUGAGACAAGAAAAAAAUAACAACUCUUUAUUGCAUGUGUCUGAUUUAAAUACAUUUUCAUGAGAAUUGAUAUUAAAAUAUUUUUAUUUAUUAUAAUGUGAUUAUCGAAAUUAGUUGAUUUCUUGAAUUUCUAUGUGUUUAGUAGCACGUACAUAGAAGUAUAAGUUUCACACCAAAAUUACUAAUUUAAUAUCUUAAAAAUUAAUUUAAAUCAUAUUAUUGCUAUCUCAUUGUGAUGUUUAGCCCACUCUCUCACAUCAUUAGAAUAGAUAAAUAUUGUUUGUUAAAAAAAAUAUUUGUAAAAUCAAGAAUAAGCUAAACUAGAGGGCUAAUCAAUUUUCCCUUUCUCGAUUCAUGACUUCCCAUGUACAAAAGUAUCUCAUUAAGAUCAUAAAACACAAAGUCUUUGCAUGUAUGUUAAACUGUAAUUUAUCUGCAACGAAAAAUAAUUCCUUAGGCCUUCCACAAUAAACGAAAAUGACUUUCAUUCCUAUAAGUAAAUAUUCCUACACAUAGCAGAUGAUGCUUUAUUGCAAUGGCAGAACACAAUCAUACUUAUGCACUCCAGUGUGGAUUUAAUCCCCACCAACUUUCCUCUCCCUAACAACUAACUGUUUAAUCCACUAACGGUAUCACUCUACUAAAAAAAGAUAAAGAGUUUUCUGCACACAUGUCAAAUUGUAAUUUGUAGUAAUGAAAAAUGACUCGUUAGGCCCUUCACACUAGACAUGUUAAUUGAGUUUGAUUCUAAUUUUAUAGGAAUCAAACUUCUAUACUGGGUAGGAAAUUUUGAGUUAUAUGAAAGUGAUUCCAAUUAGUGAGUUUAAUAUAUUGAAAAAAAAACACUUUCUCAAUUUAUAUAAUGACAUAUAAAUACCACUUUGUAUUCGAAGCACAUUAAAAAUUUCUCAUAAAUUAGGAAGUAGACGUGUUAUUUCUAUGAAACUCACACUACUAUAAUAAUUGGUGUAUGUUGUAUAAAAAUCAAAGUUAAAAUUCAAAUUCCUUAUGUAUAGAAAUCAUAUUCAACUAGAUUAUUGUGAAAGACAUGACAUGACAUGUACCUAGCCAAGAAUCAUGAAACACUAUUCGAUUGCUACAAAUUCAGUCUUGUUUCUAUUCAAUUACAAAUAAAUACUUGUCCAAAUAAUUAAAACUAUAAACAUAAAUUAUACAUGUGUUUAUUUGUAAUUGAAUAAAAGUAGAAAUUGCUGGUGAAUUUGCAAAAAUCAUAUUAAUCAACUAUAUUAUAACCAUUUGUGUGUUCCUUUUUAUCGACUUAUUAAAGUUAUGUUUAGGAGGGUGUAGAAUUGACUUAAUAAAAUAUAAAGGAAAAGUGAAAGCACGAGGGGAUUUGAUUAGGAAUGUGCUAUCCACACAUCUUUUUUUACUUCUUACACACAUCUUGCUAAUUUAUGUCUGUUGAUCUUCUUCAAUUCAUCCGAUCGGACGGUCGAAAACUAAAAAAAUGUAUGAGAAGUAUAAAGGAUGUGUGGAUAUCACACCCCAUUUGAUUAUUGGAAAAAAAAAAAUCUACUCAAAUCACUGUAAAAACACAAUAAUCAAGAGAACAGCGGCAAAUUAGACCUUUGACAGCAACCUAAUGCAAAAAUGAUGGGCCCCAUGCAUCAUCACGCAUAUGGGCACCCAUAUCCCAGUAAAAAAGAAAGCAAAAGGCUUAAAAAUCUUAGAGAGAGAGAGAGAGAGAGAUUUGUAAGAUUUGUAAAAACGACAGUUGUGAGUUUGUAUAGUAGUAAUUAUCAAGCGCGCAAAAGGAGCUUCUCGUAAAGCUGAUUGAUGAUUCGGUGCCUCUUCAUCAGAGAGAGAGAGAGUGAAAGCUCCAUAAAGUACAUACUCUCUCUCUCCUCGCUUUCUCUCUCUCUUCUAUUCUGCACUUUGCUGCUGCUGCAUUAUUUUGUACAAUCACCGUGGACUCCCAGACAAAGUGUACCACUUCCCUCUCUCUCUCUCUCUCUCUCUCUCUUACCCACACAAUUUGCACCAACAGACUCUCUCUCUCUCCGUCCCUCCCUCCCCCUACUUUCUUUGGCUCAGAGCUGGCAUGGGUCACUGCCAGGUGUGUGCUUUUCACUACCCCUCCACAUUCACCAACUUUAUCACUCUCCCACUACCACUCCUUUAGAGAGAGAAACAAACCAAACUACCCUUUAUCUCUCUAUCAAUUGAUGACCCUCCCAAGGUAGUAUUAUGAAGGGGCUGUAGAGGACAAUAAUGGAAAUGGGCUCGAGUUCUAAGACCGAGUCAGCGAGCUCUUCCUCCUCUUCGCCGCCCAACUCCUCCGCUGAGUCACUCAACGGCUUGAAAUUCGGCCGGAAAAUCUACUUUGAGGAUGGGGGUUUUGGAGCUCUGCACAAAUCAUCAUGCGGGUCUGCUGCUGGGUCUUCCUCCGCCGGGGCUACGCCGCCAAAGAAGCAAAGGGGCGGCGGAAAUUUGGGUCAGCCGCCGCGGUGUCAGGUGGAGGGCUGCGAGGUAGAUCUGAGUGGUGCCAAAGCUUACUAUUCCAGGCACAAAGUCUGUGGCUUGCACUCUAAAACUCCCACUGUCAUUGUUGCUGGUCUUGAACAGAGGUUUUGCCAACAGUGUAGCAGGUCAAUCAAAUUUUCAAAUUUCAUUGCUGGCUAUUUUAUUUACUUAUUUGCAGGGGAACCCCAAUUGCACAUUACAUUUUGCAGUUUCAAGUUUUUGAAGAAUUACAAUCCUUGGUGCUUGGUGGGGUUCUUUGUGUUUUAGCUGUGAUUGUUUCCCAUUUGACUUCUGUUUGUGAGUGAGUACGUUGUGUUAUAUAUAUGUGAGUGUGUGCGCGUGUGUAUCUUGUUGUUUGGAUAAUGUUCUUCUGUGUGUUAGCUGCUUUGGACCUUGAUGGGGGCCUUGCGUUUCAUUGAGCUGUACCAUUUAACAUAUUACUCAUCCCAGAUAAAUUAUGACUCAUGAAUGCUUGCAGC
rnacentral:lncRNA from 1 species